rnacentral:lncRNA from 1 species
AGAAAGAAGAAAAGAGGGAGAAAGAAAAAGAGAAGAAAAAAAAGAAAGGAAUGGUUUUUGGAGAGAAUUUUUUUUUUUUACAUCUUGUGAUAGAAAAGAAAAGAAUUAUUGAAAGAGUUUAUUCAUAGGAAGAUUUUACAAUAGUUUAAGCACACCUAUAUAUCUAUUGAAGUUGAAUUAAAAACAGAAGGAUUGCGGGGUUUUUGAUUAUCAUUUGAAUUCGAAGUUGUGUAGUGGAAGGUCAUCCCUUUGCUCGUUUCGUCUCUAGCUCGCUGCCCCGAAGAAGGUGAAAUCCUUUUUUUUUUCUUUUUAGAUGUUGUCAUUCCACCUUGCUAACUAUUUUUUUUUUGUUUUGUUUUCUUGUGUGACAUCGAUUCGAGUCCAUUUUGGAUUCCAUUCUUGCAUUCCUCGUUGAGCCAUAAAGGCUCAAAAUACUUUUUCCGAGUCAGCCAAUCCCCUGAAAGGAUGUACAGGUCGAAAGCAAAACCAUUGGAGAGCUGCUGGAAGUAGCGGAUUGCAGGCAUUUGGCUGCGAUUUUUGUUUUGAAGUUGUGUAUCUGGUUUACACACAAUAUAUACACUGUGAUACAGGUCAAAAAUCCACAGGAGGCCCAAAUUCAAAAUCUGAAUUGACGACAGGAAAAUUACGUUUCUGGAAAGGAGUUUUCAACUUUCGAAAGUUGAAAAACAGGCUUAUAUACAGCCUGUAUACACAGAUAUACAGAGAUGAUAUACUAUAUAUAUGCUCAAAAAUAUGAUUGGCAGGGGAACGUACACGGACGCUUGUUUUAACUAAAAUUCGGGAUUAGGCAAUUAAUACGGACGCAGGGUGCAGCCCGUAUACAUUAGUAUACAUUAUCGGGCGACGAUAUAUAAUUGUUAAACAGGUUUAAAAAAUGAUACAGGUACAAAUAUGCAGAGACGAUAUGCGAAAUAUAAGGGAAAUAGCUGAAAAUGCGUAUAUAAAUAAAUGCAGGGCUCAAAAGGUCCAAAAUGGAUGCUGAUAUACACCGUAUACAACAGUAUACAUCUUUUGUAUACUUUAUAUCUCCUUUUUCAGGAAAUUGGGCUAAGGCCCUUCAGUUCCCUUUUAUCAACAGGCCCAAUAAUCAUUUGUUUUUACAGGUUUUUUUUUUAAAAAAAGGGCCCAAAUCUAAGUAAAUAGAUUAGGAUAGGUGGGCCAAAGCCCAAUUGGAUGGAUUUGGGCAAUCAAACCCAAGUUCAAAUAUUUUUCUCUCUUUAUUUAUUAUUUGUUUGAAUUAAUUAGUGUUUUGGUAGAAUUUUAAUAAUCUCCUAAAGAGUAGCCAUUUUUCAUUAUUUUAAAUUUUACUAUUUUAUUCACUUUUAUCACCAUUUAGUUUUCCUUAAAUUAAUUCCUCUAAACAUUUCCCUUUAGAAAAAAAAAAAGUAAAAAGAAUGAAAUACAAAAUAUCAAAAUGAAUUUUCUCUUUUACUUAGUUAAAAAUUUUUAUUUUAAAAGUCAUUUAGUCAAAUCGCCGGUCAACCGCAAGUUAGCGGGCAUCCCGAGGGCCUAACACCUUCUCGAGAUGUACAUUGAACUUCGAACCCUUUUCAAUUGAUUUUUAAUCUGUUUUUUAAAUCUUUUGAAGUUUUUCUUGAUUUUAUCAAAAAUCAAGUGGCGACUCCAAUUUUGAAGGUCGGUUUUUCUUAAACAAUAAGAUUAAUUGAUUUUUCGAAACCUAGUCAAUUUUUUCUCAUUUCUCCCAUUAAACAUAAACAGUAGUAUUUUUUUAAGUAAAACAAGUUGUAUUUUCCAAUGUCAUGUUAUUAAAAACUUGAGGCUAAUUCCAUUCUGUAAUUUAUGACUAUAGUUAUAGUUAUCUUAGACCCUUAGUUGCGCUAUAGUCAAACUUGAUAACUAUUAAAAAGUAUGUCACUCUGAUUUUCACAUAUGACGAUUUGAGAAAAUUGAUGAUCUCGAAAGCUAUGUCAUGAAUAAAUUGUAAGAAUAAUUGAAAGAUAAUAAGAAUAUUUUGAAAUAUCUCAAUCCUACCACAAGUUUUACCAACCUAUUUUUCUUUAUAUAGAUAUGAGCUAUAUGACACAUGGAAAAUACAAUUAUUGUAAGUAGUUAGGGGUGAACUAAUAUCGAUAUCUUUUUUACUUUUUUUUCUUUUAUCACUAAAAGUGCAUUCAUUGUAGACUAAAACACAUUAAAUAGAGUUUUAUAUCCUUUCCUCAUACAUGGUCCCUCAUUUUCUUCUUAUAAAAACAAUUGGAUUAUAAUAUAUGUUAUUUUAUAAUAUUUAUGCAUAAGAUAUCAUAUUUUGCUCAUUAUAUCCUUAUUGAUUAAUUAAUUAAUCUUAAAAAUAUAUUUACUUUAACUAAUCUUGAAAAUCUAUAACUAAUUAAAUAAGGCUAUAGAAAUAAAAUUAUCUAAUUUCCUGUUGCAAGUACAAAUGGAAAAAGUGACUUAUAAUAUGGGACGGGGGGAGUAAUUGAUAAUUUCUAUCUAAUACACCUUGACCAGAGAGAUGUCAAGGUGCGUGAUUAUAUAGGCCGAUGAAGACGGAUCAAAAGAAAAAAAACUGAUAGAUAUUUAUGUUGAUAAGAUUUUAAAUAAAGGUUGCAUCUGACAUUUUAGAUAAAUAAGUAAAGUGAAAGAGCAUUAUUAAGUGAAAGGUGUAUUUGUUCUUUAUUGGUAUUAUCAGUUAUUUAGGAGAUAAUUGAUUUAGCAAUUUUUAGUCUUUAUCUAUUUGAUACAUACUUUAUAAAACAUAACACAAAUUCAUAACUUACACUUUUGAACUUGGUGAUGGCGUAGUUCAGGGGUGUUAAAUGGUGGGUUGGGUUGAAAUUGGAAAUAUUACAAUGGGUUUGAAUAGAAAUUGGGUUGGGUUAGACCCGCCCAAAUUUACUUUGAACUCAAAUGAGCUAAAAAUAGGUUGGGCCUUGACCCGCCCAAUUUGAUCCGAUUAAUCUUAGUUAUUUAACAUAUUGAUAUUUAACUUUUAUAAUCACAUUUUGAAGCUCCGUUCAAGAAUUUUUUGUUAAAAAAAGUAACAAAUGGAUAGAUAAAUCAUAAAAAAGGCAACAAAUCGAUAAUAAUUUAUAUUGUAAAUAUAGGAACAUAUCUUAAUACUAAGUUCUAAAACGGGUUGAAAUUGGAGAUUGAAUUAGGCUUAAUUGAGAAUUCUCUUCAAAUAGGUUAAGCUUGAAUGGGUCGAGAUUGAACCCAAUUCAAAUUAUCUUGAGCCCAACCCUUAAAAUUCUGGGCGAAUUGGGCAUGUUACCAUGUUUGGGUUCAUUUUUAACGCCCCUAGCGUAGUCGAAAGAAGUCAAUCCAUGAGGUUUGUAAAACAAAUGCGAAUAAUUUACUCUACCAUUGAGCUUGUUAGUCAUAUGGUGUAGCAAAAUGGUAGAUUAUCGAAAAAAUAUCUUAAUUAUGCUUCAUAGUUAUAAUUUGUUAAUUACAAUUAGUAGCUACAUGUUAUAUGGAGGAGAGUGGCGAGCGAGAUUGGGAGAGGAAAGAGAGAAGUGAGUGAGACAAGGUAGAGAGUGGGAGAGAGGCGAACUGCAUAUGCAUAUUUGUCAAAAUAAUUGUAUAUAUGUAACUGGUAUACAUACGUAUUCGUAUAUCUGGUGAGUGAGGAGAGAAAAGAGAGAAGCGAGCGAGAUUGGAAGAGGAAAGAGAGAGCCGAGCGAGAGAGGACAAUAAUUUAUGUAAUUCGCAUCUCAUUUGUAUAAUUAAUUUUGUUCGAAAUGCGGUUCAAUAUAAUUUUUUAACCAUAAGCAUAAACAACCCUAUAUAGAACUAUUGAUCAAUAUAGAACUAUUGAUCUAUUGAUCAAAAGAGUCAUACCAUAAUUCUAUUUAAACACCACCUCCCUUGUUUCACUUCACAAUAAAAUAAAUUUGAGUAAUAAAGCAUGAGUUCUUUGGUUCUUCAAUGUUGGAAAUUAUCAUCUCCAUCUCUGAUUUUACAACAAAAUACAUCAAUAUCCAUGGGUGCAUUCAAAGGUUAAUUACUUAUGGGAAUUAUUUAAUUUUGUUCAUACCUUAUAUACGUACACAUGAAAAAAUUGACUAUUAAUUUUGUAGGUAUUCAUAAACUUCAAAUCCCAAAUUCGCCUCUGACAGUGUCUGCUCGUGGACUCAACAAGAUUUCAUGCUCACUCAACUUACAAACCGAAAAGCUUUGUUAUGAGGAUAAUGAUAAUGAUCUUGAUGAAGAACUUAUGCCUAAACACAUUGCUUUGAUAAUGGAUGGUAAUAGGAGAUGGGCAAAGGAUAAGGGUUUAGAAGUAUACGAAGGUCACAAACAUAUUAUUCCAAAAUUAAAAGAGAUAUGUGACAUUUCUUCUAAAUUGGGAAUACAAAUUAUCACUGCUUUUGCAUUCUCUACUGAAAAUUGGAAACGAUCCAAGGUAUUUGCUUUCGUUCAUUUUACACUCUCUGUCCCAAUUUAUGUGGUGUUCAUAAUCGUAUUUUAAUUUUCAGACUCAGAUAUUUUCCUGCAUGUUCUUCAUGUUUUUAAAAAAAUUAUGACUUGUUCUUUUAAGAUAUGUAUAGUUUAAAUAAAGUGGAUUUAGCUAGGAACUUUAUCAAUAACUUGCUCGUACUUAACAUAAAAUUCAUAGCUAAUUCAUCGUAAAUAGGAUUAACAAUAAAUUUCAUUAUUUAGCUAUAUAAUUUAUUUUUCGAUAAAUCUUGUUUUGCAUAGUAAUUUUGACAUAUUCUCUUUUACCUGGCUACUAAAAUUAUUAAAGUUUGUGAAAAAUAUGAUCACACUAUUAACUAUUUAAACUACCAUCCUGUUUUACUGAACUUAUAAAAAGCGCUUUCAAGUACAUUUCUUCUCAAAAAUAUUUUUGGAGAAACACUACUUUUUUUAGCUACUCAAUAGCUUAUGCAACUCGAUCCCUAGCUUAAAAGUUUUGAUCAAGCACUUUUUUUUUAAACGAACAUUUUUUACCUCCUAAAAUCCCAAUUACAGAACUCUUAAAAUUUGAAUGAUACCAUAAAAAAUGAGACGGAGGGAGUAUUAUAUUUCUACAAGUACAAUUAUUUCAUAUAUAUAGAGAGAGUCAGAUUUUUAUACUAAACGUGGCUUAAGUAUUUUGAUGUAUGGGGUGAAAAAUGUAAAUCUUUUUUAGCUCCGAGAGAAAUGUAAUUUGUUUGUUUUGUUUUAAUUUGAAUUAAGAAGUUUAACAAGUAAUGAAGACUUUAAAUUUUAUUAAAACUUAAAUUAAAGAUAUGUCAAAUACAUCUAAGUAUCUUUUAAUUUUAUGAUUCUUAAGAUGCGAAGUUUGAAUUAACGAUUCACUAAAAGAGGAAAAAAUUCAUUCCUUUUGAAAUGAACUAAAACAAAAAAUAGAACAAAUAAGUUGAGACGAAUGAAUAUAAUUUAUUGAAUUUCUAUUUGUGUUUCUUUUGCUCAAGUAUAUAUAACCAUUUAUUUUGGUGCAGGAGGAGGUUGAUUUCUUGUUGCAAAUGUUCGAAGAACUCUAUGAUGAGUUUUCGAGGUACUGAAUUGUCUAAAUUAAAAUAUAGGAAAAGGCUAAAAAAUUUCCUUAUAUAAUGUAAAUUAAUUAAAUAAAAAUAUUUUUGAUUAAUAUUUUGAUCUAAAAAUAUUUUCGUCAAUAGUUAAUCUAAAACACUCCUAUUAUUACGUAAUGAGUCAAAAAUGUCAUUUUCCCAAAUAAGUAUAUUGUAUUUGUUUAGUUUUAAACACAUUUUUUUGGUAAUAAUAAUUCUUCUAUUAGCAAAUACUUAUCCUUCUUCUAUUCGAAAAAGAUUAAAAAAUACAAAUACAUUCUAUUUUGUUAGUGUUUUAAAUUGUUAUAGAAACAAAAUUAAUGAUGAGAUUAUUAUGAUAUUUUAAUAUAAAAUCCAUUUUAUCAAUCAAACAAAGGUACAUUUAGUAUUCUAUUUUGAUUGAUAAAAUGAGAAUAAGAAGUAAAAUGCCUCCUUAUUUCUUAGUUGGAGUAAAUCUAAAGGAAAAAACAAACAAGAAUAAAAAUUCUUACUGAGUAAAUUUUUAUUAGGAAUAAAAUGUAUUUAACAAGAAAAGAAAUAAUAUAUUUAUUAUGAAAAAGAUAUUUUCGACCAUUAAGUAAUAAUAGGUUAUAACGACCCCCUUAGUCGUUUUAUGAAUUUUACUCAUUUAUCUAAACUUAAUUAUUUUAAUAGUUUUUAUAAAUAAUUUAUGACUUAUAAAAAUGAGUGCUAUAAAUUUUAAAAUAAAUUAAUAGUUAAUUAAGUUUUACGAAAUAAUAGAAGAAAAAUAAAUGUACUUAAUUUUAAGAAAAAUAUAAUAAUAAUAAUAAAUAAUAAUAAUAAAAUAAUAAUAACUAAUUAAAAAAACAAAGGGCUAAGCCCAAUUGAAAAGGGAAAAAAAAGGGUUAAAGCUGUUGUUGUUGUUGGCAACAGCAGUCACGCAUAAAUUUUUUUUUAUAAAAAGAACAUAUCACGCAGUGUAACAAGAGAAAAAAACGGAAGAAGAAGAGAGGCAACAUUGCAUCGUUAAAGAGGAACCAUGUGUUUAAAUCAGGUAAGAAAAUCGAUCUUCUAUAACUGGAUUGAAUUGUUUUGUACAAUUAUUUAUGAAAUCAUUAACACCAAAGGGUUAAAUUGUAAAGUGCUUUAUCAAUUGAUUUUAAAUUUGGUUAAGAUUGUAUUUUUUUUUAAUUUGUGGAUUAAUGUAUAACUAAGGCGUUUAGUGGGUGAGGAAUAAGGAAGUUAUAAUUUUGGAUUGAAAUACAGGAAUAAUUCAAGCUUUUACUUUAUUAUAUGUAUGUUCCUAAGGAGUUAUUGUUGUGAUUGCACAUAGUGAAUAAUGUGAUAUCCUUACCAAAAUUAAAGCUUUAUAUGCCAUAAGUAUGCAUAAUGGUUAUGGGUUUGGUUUAGUUUCACAAUUUUCUUAUAGUUAUCAAGUAAUAAUUCAAGUUUUGUUAUAAUGAGAUAGGUAAUUAAAUAUUAAGGGCAUUGUAUUAUAUGAAUGUCAUUAGAUUUAUGAUAUAGGAGAAGGGAAACGUAACCCUAGACUUGAAAUUUGGAAAAUAUGAGGAUUGACAUCCUAAUUGACAUCAAUAUUACGAGCUUGAUUACAUAUCUGAGUGAGUUUUUCUGUUUAGACUAGACCUAUAGUAAUUUGAGUUUUGUUGGGUUCGAAAUCUUAUUAUGACUAAUAAUAUGAAUAGAUUGCUUUGAGUUGGAAGUCCAACGAAAAAAGAAAGACUCAAGUCACGGAGUGAUUGUUCGACUAUUUGAGGCAAGUGGAUUUCUAAACUCUUGUUAAGUGUAUGAAAUGCGUGUAUUUCCUUGUGGUAUAUGUUUGAGAGUAAUGGAAUUGGUGAUGGGUUGACUUGUCCACAUUGAUUAAUUAUAAUGAUGAAAAAAAGGGGAUAACAAACGACAAUGUGAUUAAUUGUUUAUGUGAGAUUUUGUUGAGAAAGGGUUGAAGGCUUGUUGAAUCAUUGUUGAUGUGACUUCAUGUUUGUGUGGUUGUGAACUAUGCGAUGUCAUGAAAAUGGUCAUCUCCUCAUUAUUUGUGUGAAUUUGUCAUCCGCAUUAUUCUGAGGCAUUGGUUGUGACAAGUGUUAUGUGCAUUGAGAAAGAAUGAGUACUUAAGAGGAUGUACCAUUUCGAGGGACGUAUCGCGCGCCGCGAUGGAUACUGUAUUUUGAGGGACGUAUCGCGCGCCGCGAUGGUUUCUGUUAUCAAGGGUCGUGUCAUGCGCCGCGACAGAUGCAUACACAGAUAUGUCCCCAUGGGUCCCAGACUGAGAGACAGCGGGUGUGUAUCACUAAGUCAGACAUGCAUCAUUAUACUUGACACUGCAUUCCAUUGCAUUGCACAUACUUAUCAUUAGUGAACUUGAUAUCGUGUUUUGCUGAUCUUCUGAUUGCCUUUCUGCGGAACUUAUGAUUGAUCGAUAUUGAGCUUGUUAUUGCGGAUAUGCAAUUUGUUAAAGUGUUGUUGUUGAGGAUAUGUAAUUUGUCUAAGUGUUGUUGUUGAACUACGUGCUAUGUAAACUGUGAGCUGUUAGGUUGGGUUGAUUUUACUGCAGGAUGUAGUUGUGGAGGUUCGUUUGGGGGGUGGUAGGAGUACCUGUAUUUCAUCCCCUUAGCUUGUGUUUAGAGGUUUACUUGCUGAGUACAGUGUGAUUUGGUACUCACCCCUUACUUCUAUAAAUUUUUGUAGGUUAUGAGCCUGGAUUUUUUGUUGUACUUGUCAUUCUCUUCUUUUUCGAGGCUUCUUGGAGAUUUGUGAGGUAGUUGUUUCCAUGUCACCAGACUUUCUUCUCCAUAAUUAUGAUUUUGUUCUAUUCUAGAAACAAGUUCAUUUGAGACUUGAGCUUUCUUUUGAAUCAAUUGUAAUACUUUAGAGGCUUGUACACGUGACUACCAGAUUUUGGGGGUUUUAUUAAGUUACUUAUAUUUUAUUUCCGCACUUUAUUGUAAUGGUUGAGUUUUAGGCUAACUUGUCUUGGUGGGAUAAGACGAGUGUCAUCACGUCCAUUUUUGGGUCGUGACAAAAUGGUAUCAGAGCCUCAGGUUCAUAGGUCUCACGUGUGUACAAGACGAGUCUAACUAGAGUCUUGAGGAUCUGUACGGAGACGUUUGCACUUAUCUUUGAGAGGCUAUAGUGACUUAUAAGAAAAAUCUUCACUUCUUGAAUCUCAAUCGUGCUUACUUGGUUUAGUUUUGACUAUCAUCGCUUCACUCCAUUCACUCUCAUUUAUGUGAUGAUUUGUGCAUAGUUUCUCAUGUGAGUAGUUAGUGUGUUGUGUAUAACUUGAAUGUUAGACCUAAUACUAAGGUGAACGUGAUAUACUUAUGAAAAGAAUGUAGUUCGAUAAUUGAAAGUGGAUGAAUUAAAAUGAUUGCAAGAUAAUGAACAAUGUAAAUUGAGAAAACACAGUUAGCAAAGUUGUCAUAAUAUGUAUGAGGUAUUUUGAUACGAUCUUCUAGAUAGGUAUGAUGUGUUUUAGUGGUGGAUUUAACAGACUUCACAACAUGGCACUAGUGGUAUAUGAAAAUGGAUAAGUUGAUUUUUAAGUGUGAAUAAUAAAUACCUAAAGAGUUAUUAGUUGUAUCAUAUGUUUAGAUAAUUAGAUUUGGUGUUGAAUUCAAGGUUUGAGAAACCAACUAGUUUGUUACUACGGAUGCUUGAGCUAAGCGUAAUUUAUAAGGAAGCAUUUAGUGGUGAAUCUUCAGUACGAUAUUAAUGUGUUGAGUUGAGAAGUGUAUCUAGAGGGUUCUAAAUGAGGAUCAAUAAUUUCAUCUUAAGGUCCAAGGAAAUGGAUAGAUACCAUAAUGGCAAGCUUAUGGGUAAAUGAAGUCCCAGAGAGUAUACUUGUGCGAAGGAAAUUGAAAAUCUUACUAAAAAGUGCAUAUGAUAUUGGGUUAGUCUUGUGAAUUUUAUUGGUAAAGUUGGUUUUGAGAUGUCAUGGCAAUGACAAAGAUUACUUUAUGGUGAUGGCAAGGGCUAAACGAGCAUAAUGAUAGUAAGAGUUUGUGAUGGAUUGAGAUUGGGAUGAGCUAUAUGACAAAGAUAAUUUGUUAAAUGGAUUUUUGUAUAGUAAUGACAACUUGCGAGUAUAUAAUGUUAUGGUUUGCUAUAGUUUGAUGAGUAGCCUGGUUGCAAGUAAAGUUAUAGGAGGUGUUGAAACACUGCUCGAAUAGAAUUUAAAGGAGCUAGAGUCAUAAUGAAAAGAAUAAAAAAAUUAGCUAAUAUAGUGUAGCCUUCGAAAAGAGGUGAGUGUAAGAAUAUUUUCUUUGAUUGCAAGGGCUAAAGAGGUAUAUUCACAUGGGUUGAGAAUUGGAUUUAGAGACACAUGAUUUCCUCCGUUUUACAUUGGUCAUGGUAAUAGUGUCACAGAUUUAUCAAGAUUGGUCGAAAAAAAUCGAAUAAGAUUUGAGAAAUGAGUGUAUAGACGUUCAACUUGAGUGUGAUGAUAAGUUUAUUCGUGGCUUUGAGUUUCGUAAUGAGUAUGAUUGAAUUUUUAGCGAAAGAUAUGAUAAGAUCAAUGGAGAGGCGAUCAAUGAUAAACUAAGAUACGUGAAUUCAUAAAAAUCUUAAAGGUAUGAGCUAAUAGUGAUGGAUAUUGAGUUACACAACUGGAUUCAAAUUGAAGUUUUUCGUGGUGAGUUUAGGUUUUUGGUAGUGUGUUUUGUCAAUGUAUGAAUUGGUAAGGUGAGAAAUAAUCAAUCGCAUUGAGUAUGAAGCAUUUGGAAGGACUUAAAAAUUUCAAGUAGUAAAAUUUGGUUACAUUUGAUUGUUAAUACCCAAGGGGAGUUUCACAUAAUGUUAUGGUUUAAAGGACAAGGUAAAAAUUUUCAUGGGUUGUUGGACAAAGAAUAAGACUUGUAAGUGAAUAAGCAAAUAAAAAAUAAAAAAUUGGUGUAUUGAAAAGUUCAAGGCAUUUAAAAUUUUUGUCAUGAGAAGAAUGUAAGAAGAGUGAAGGAAUAAAGACCUCUUGUAUAAGCCAUUGAUUUGUAGUUGAAGAAUUUAUUAAUUUUUAAUUAUGAAUUUACAUAUGAUCGUGAGAUAUGAAGUAGUACAGACUUACUAGAAAUUAUCAUCAACUUACUACAUAUAGGCUUGAACCGCAAGAAAAGCAAAGCUAGGGGUUUCGUUUUCAAAAUUAAAGAUAGACUCGUAUACGUUUGUAUUAUCUUUUUGAACAAAAAAUAAAGAGAAAAAUAUAUUUUUUAUAAUAUUAAGGUAUUAGAUAAAAGAGUAAACCACAGGUUUAUAGAGAUUUUUUAUUAUCUGAAUUCGCUCGAACAAGUUUAUUAGUUGGAAUAGAAGGAAAGAACAAAAGUCGUAAAUUCAAAAUGAGGGAUUAAUGAUUGAGUGGUUUGUAAAAGACUUCAUCAAUGUGAUUCUUCAUUUCCUCUGGAAUUCUAUAUCCAUCAGUUUGUGAAUAAGUGAAAUGAGCCCAUUUGCUUGACCUCCAAAAUAUAUCUUUGCAUAAUUGAGGCAAUUGGCUUCCCUUUUUUUGAACUAAAACCAUUUUCAAUAACUCUCUUCUAUUCAUUUCCAAGAUUUCCUUUGUCUUCAUUACAGCUUCUUCCUCAGACAUACUUUUCAUUAGUAAUGUGACUAAAGUUAUUGAGCCCUCCUUUUGUUCUUUCUGUAGCAAAACAUGUGGGAAUUAAACAAUCCACCAAUAUUAAUAUAUAUGUGGAGUACUAAAAAAGACAUGUACAAUAAUGGUAAAGUUCAAUAGUUUGGGUUCAAUUUAUGUCUUUAUAAUAAUAGUAUAAAUAAUUUAUUCAGAAUUUAAUAAAAACAGGACUUCAGAAUCUAUAAAUUUAAAAAUUCUAAAUUAGCAUCUGAUCACUCAGUAUUUUGUACCAUAGGUAUGAUUGACACAAGUUGAUUGUUUUUACAAGUGACUUUCGAAAAAUAUGUUUUUACAAGUGAUAUUUUACAUUGAUUAAUGGGAGAAGGGUUUGAUAUACCCUUCAACUUUGUCAUUUAGAGUUGAUAUACCCCUUGUUAUGGAAGUGGCUCAUAUAUACCCCUACUUGUAAACAAAUGGCUCACAUAUACCCUUUUCCUCUAACGGAAAUGAAAAAAAAUAUAAUUUUAAUCUAACUUUUUUUUUUUUUACAAAAAUAUAAUCCCAGUAAAUUCAAUCUUCGUCAAACAUAUUCUUUUGACUUUUUUUGUUUCAAUGACUAAUUUAGAAUUAUUAUUUUGAUAAUAAAAUUUAUUUAUGUUACACUAAUAUUCUUGUAAAACUUGUUGUAGAUGACCAAAUUUUUUUCUUCGAAUACAAAAAUCAAAUUACAAUAUGGACAAAAAAUAGUUUAAAUUUUUUUCUUUAAACUAAGGAAAAGAAAAAAAAUAGAAUAAGAAUAAGAAACUCAAAUAAUUAUAAUAAAAGAGGUCAAAAAAUAAUUUAUGUAUGAAAAAAAUUAAAAUAUACCUUGAACUUUGAUAGAAGAAUCAUAUAUACCCCUAAAUAAAUUUUUUUUUAAAAAUAAAAGUAAUAAAUAUAAAUUUACAACUAAUUUUCUUAACUUCGUUAAAUGAAUGGUAUAUAUGAGCCAUUUUGUAACGACAGGGGUAUAUGUGAGCCGUUUGUAUAACGGUAAGGGCAUAUAUAAGCCACUUUCAUAACGAGGGAUAUAUCAGCUCCAAAUGGCAAAGUUGAAAGGUAUAUCAGACCCUUUUCCCUUCAUUAAUUGUCUCUUUUCUAUCCUCCAACAAUCUCGUUGUCUUUACUCCACUUCUAACCAUCAUCCCCACCAUCCUACAGGCCCCAACAAAUUUAUCUAAAUUAUAUACAAAUAUUUUUUGGAUAAUAUUAUAUAUUUAAUAUAAAAAAUAAGAAAUUGCAUUUUUCAUACCCAACACACCCUAUAUAUACAAUUGAUAAGUUCUAUUUUAUUAUGUAAAUAUAAUUAUAUGAUGAUGCUUAUCCAAUAUCACAUGAUGAAAAUUAAUAUUAAAAGAAUAGAAGAGUUGUUACCUUGGAAUCUUGUAAAUCAUUAAGGAUUCGCAUCACUCUACCGCUACAAUUCCAUAGGCCACAUAUUUCAUCACUUUCUAAAAGAUCUUUGGAUAUUUUUAUUCCAAGAAAAUAUUGUGUUGUGAGAGGAAUCAAUUUUGCACAAAAUGUUAUAGAAGUAACAUACAAAUACUCUUCUAUGCUUGGUAUUGUCUUGCCAGAACACCACUCUACUUGUUCCAUCAACAUCAACUUCAUCAUUUCAAGCCACUACAAAAAUUGUACGAUGAUAAGACACGACGCUUGAGAAAAUAAAUUUGAAAAUAGUUUUUCUGAUUCAAUUUGUUUGUCUCAAUUAACUAGGUAGAUAAUUUUGUUGUUUAUCAUGAAUUUCUAAGAUAUUUAGAACAAUUUUUUUGAAAAACUUGAUAAGAAACAACAUAAUUUAAAGAGUAUUUUCAAAAUUAGAAGAGAAAAUAAAAUCAGAAACAUACAAAAUAUUUUUCUUAAGAAGAAAAUCAAGCACACUGAAUGCACAGUGUCACCGGUGUAGCGUCGUUACCUACAAUCACAGUGUCAACGAGCUACUCAACUACAUAAAAGUACACUUCAAAUACUAUAUUUAGUAGUAGUAGUGGUAGAAGUCUAAAAAUUGUGUCUCUUAAUCUCUGUAUUUAUAGACAACAAACGGUAUUGUGAAAAGAUUCUUAUUAUGCGUUACCAGAAAGGUCACAAACCUUCGAAAAAAUCAAAAUCUUUUGAAAAUGUCACAAUCUUUAAUAAAAGUCACAAUCAACCCUCCAUAAAAAUAAUUUUUCAUAAAAGUCACAAGUAUUUAUAAAAGUUGCAACUCUAUAUUUUUCAUUCACACAUUUUAAAACUUAACAAAUUUAAGACAAUAAAAAAGUUUUUUUGACUUUUGUGCUGUUAAAUUAAAGAUAUGCUUAUUAUAUGUCACAUGGAAUGUUGAAGUUAAAUAGUACCAAAUUAAAAAAAAAAGAUAUUAUUUUUUAAACAGACUUAAAAGAAAAUAAAAAAAUAAUUUGAUUCUUGUUACCAUAAUUUAAAAAUAUGAUUAAUGUAACAAAAUAUUGUUUAAUAUUAUAAUCUUUGAAUGUGAAAAUUAAAGACAUGCCAAAUUAGAAAAAAAAGAUAUUCUUUUUUAAAUACACUAAUAAGUAUAAAAAAUAAAAUUAAAGAAGGAAGUCAGAGAAUAAUUCCCCUACCAAAUUAAUAAGGUGAUUUUUGACAGAUCGUCCUUGUUUAAUUUCAGCAAUUGUUGCAAGCUCCUCUAUUGAUUUGUAAAAAGUUGAAAAGAAAAUUUUAACCUUCUCAGAUUUAUAACCUACACUUGCAUAGUCAUCCCACCUGUAAAUAAUAAUCAUUUAACACUUAAUUUAUAAGAUUAAUUACCAAAAACAUAAAUAAGCUCUAAAAAUGCUAAUAAGUCAAACUAAGUCAGUUUGACGAGCUUAUAAGUUUAUAAGAAAUACCUUUCUACUAAUUCAAUGAUGUUGAGACAUUCAUCUUUAGAUGCAAAACUCUCGAAAUGAUCAUCGACAAUAGUCAGGAGCAUGGCGUAUUUCGCGUUCAUGAGACGAGCAUCAGAUAAUUCAGGCUCGGGGAUAAUAGUAACACCAAAUAAGUAACUAGCAUGUAUAUAUCGUUCUCCAAGUCCGAGUUGGUCCAAUCUAUAAUCUUCAAACCACCUACAUUCGUAUACACAAAGAUGUUUGAUUUCACAUGAAGUUUAAGAACGAAAAAAGAAUUCAUCGCUGAUGGUGGUAGUUUUCUUACCUAAGAAGGUUAGGGCCACAAUGAAGACGGAUAAAUAGGCAUUAGGAUUUGAUUAGGUAAAAAUGAGUUUUGAAAUUUAUGGUAUCAAACAAAUUAUAGUAUCUGUGUAAUUAUAAAUUAUUUUAUUAAAAGUAAAAUAGAAAUUUAAGUUAAAUUGUCACUAAAUAUAUAUAUAUAAAAAUCAUUUUUUAAACGGACAAAAAAAAAUAUCAUUAUAUAUAUACCGCUUGAGUUGUUGAAGUUCUUCUCGGUGUUGAGCUUGGCAUAAUUCAUAGUCGUGUAUUGAAAAUGCUAACAAGUCCUUAUUGUUAAUAUCGGGUGACCUAAUAGAGAGAAAAACUUUAAAAUAGAAUUUGCACAACAUAAUAUAUAAAUGCGUUUUUCAAUUCUGCUUUAGCUGAUAUUAAUGUCACUCAAUUUUAUGUGCACACAUAAAUUUAAAUUUGUAUAAAAUUGAACAAAUGAAAUAAUGUAUCCUACAAGUUGAUUUAUAUUAUGUCAUGUAGGACGCAUAGUCAACCUUGAUCGCAACUUGAUUGGAAUCUUGGAUUGUGCUUGUUGUCUAGCCAGCCUAUUUUUGUAGCUCUUGGAUUUGUAUUAAUUGAUUGCAAAAAACUUCAAACCUCACAUCUAAUGGGUUUGUCCACUUAAUUUUGAUCUAACCCGUCCAGUUAACACAUCUAAUCUCAUAUCUUAUCCCGAUAUCUAUAGACUACUUACUUAUCCUUUUUAUAUAUAUAUAUAUAAUAUAAAGUUACAAUAAAUAUAUGAUAUGACACCAACUCAAUAAAUAUAUGACAUAUGUUAGUUAUAUAUACACAUUCUUAUCAUGAAAUUAUUGCUUAAUACUCCAUAUAUUCUUCCCUUAAUUUAUCACUUCACUACAAUAAUUUAACAUUAUUAAACGUAUAUACAAAUUAAAAAAAUGAAUGUACAAGUGAUAAUGAUAGACAAUCAUACCUAUAAGCUGCUUUUAAGAUUUUAAAAUUGUUCUCUUCGUAUGAUUUUAUAUAUCUUCUAUUUUCUGCUAGAUCAGAUGUGGUAUAAAACUUCCUCAAAGCAAGUUCCACCUAAUAUUUCCAUGAUUAGUAAUAGAAGAAAAUUAUAGUUUCGAUGUAUAAAAUAUCUUGUAUAUACAUAUAAUUCAAGAAAAUAUCGUACCUUAAGAAAUGAGAUUUACAAUAUUAUAGUAUUAUUCUAUAGAAUUCAAGAAAGUAUCGUACAUGUAAGCCUUUAGUUUAUAUAUAUAAACUAGGGAAAAGGGUCUGAUAUACUCCUCAACUUUGUCAUUUAAAGCUGAUAUACCCCUUGUUAUGAAAGUGGCUCAUUUAUACCUCUACUUGUAAACAAAUGACUCACAUAUACCCUUUUCCUCUAACGGAAAUGAAAAAAUAAUAAUUUUUAAUCUAAAUUUUUAUUAUUUUUUUCAAAAAAAUAUAAUCCCAUAUGAGUAAAUUUAAUCCUCGUCAAACAUAUUUUUUUGACUUUUUUUGUUUCAAUGACUAAUUUAGAAUUAUUAUUUUGAUAAUGAAAUUUAUUUAUGUUUCACUAAUAUUCUUGUAAAACUUAUUGUAGAUGAUCAAAAAAAAUUUCGAAUACGAAAUUAAAUUACAAUACACACAAAAAAUAGUUUAAUUUUUUUUUCUUUAAACUAAGGAAUGAAAGAAAAAAAAUAAAAUAAGAAUAAGAAACUCAAAUAAUUAUAAUAAAAGAAGUCAAAAAAUAAUUUAUGUAUGAAAAAAAUUAAAAUAUACCUUAAACUUUUAUAGAAGAAUCAUAUAUACCACUAAAUAAUUUAUUUUAAAAAAUUAUAAGUAAUAAAUAUAAAUUUAAAACUAAUUAUUUAAAAUUCCGUUAAAUGAAGGGUAUAUGUGAGCCAUUUUGUAACGGCAGGGGCAUAUGUGAGCCGUUUGUAUAACGAUAAAGAUAUAUAUGAGCCACUUUUAUAAUGAGGGGUGUAUCAGCUCCAAAUGACAAAUUUGAGGGAUAUAUCAGACCCUUUUCCCUAUAAACUAUAGGAUUCAAAAGUUAUAUCUUUACGUUCUCAAAACUUUAUGUACGAUAUAAAUUAAGAUACACAAAAUAAAAUACCUCCUCUUUUGACAUCCUAUCUAUGAAGCCAUUGUUUAAGAGUUUUUGCUCCAUAAAAGUUCUUGUCCAAUUGUUAAUUUUAUCCAAAAUGUCAUCUUUCUCAUGAUCAAUAGCCAAUUGUGAUGCUUUGUGGAGUUCAAGAAUUUCAACAUGACUUGUAUAUUUCCCACUUGUUGCAAAGAAAUGUUCUUCAUCCACAAAUUCUUCUAGUUCAUCUGCAAAUUAAUUGAAUUCAUUAAGGUAAACGUCAGAGUUUUUACUGAUGAUAACUCAGCUGAUUAAUAUUUUAGUUAUUAUCUCAAACUGUCAUAUGUUUUCUUGAUUUCAAUUUUUUUCUAACAACAAAAUUGACUUUUUAAGAAAAUAAUUAUUGACUCGAGUUUUUAGUAACAAACCUGAGGAGACAUCAUAGUAGCUCAUCCUUAGAAGUCGAAAAGCCAUAGCACAAUGGGUGACAUUUGAGAAAAUUUCUUCAUUCUUUUGUUGCCAUAGCCUAUAAAUUAUUGACAUUAUUAUAAUAUACUAUAGGAUUAACAAAAUCGUAAAGGUGAAACACCUAGAGAUAGCCAAUUAUAAAAUAAGAUUUUGAUUAACUAGAUUUAAUUUACCUGUAUAUUUCAUCUAGAGCUUUCUUUAUUUCUGAUUUAAAAUGCCGAUGUACUCCAAAAUUUUGAAGUGUAUCAACCAAGCAAAGCAAUGAAUGUAUCUUUGUUGGAUACAUAGUGGGAACUAUGAGAACAUAAUAGGCCAAAAAAAAAUGUUAGAAAGCAAAAACGAAGAUUUUUAAUUAUUAAGCCAUUAAAAUAAAUACCGUUUAUACUUACUGACAUACGCGUGUCAUAAUCUUAUCCAUUGAUCCGACAUUUAUUCAAUGGAUAAAAUUGUGUCACGUGUCCCUAUAUUUAGUCCUCCGUUAGAAUAAAGGGCAUAUAUAUGCUCUAGUUUCUGGACGAUAGGGGCACCAAUAUCCCAAAAAUAUAAAGAAGGGUAUAUUCAUACCAUUUAUAAUAAUACGGGGAUAUAUUUUUCCUUUUUUCCAAAAAAAAAAAAGAAAAGAAAAAAGAAGCUAUACGUACCCCAAUUUUUGUGUUGUUUCAAGAUUGAAUUAAGAUAUUGAUAGCAUUUUUGAUCAUGUUGAUGAUAAAUCAAGGCAGCUGCAGUAGUGGCUGGUGAAUCAAAUAAUGAACCAUUUUGUCUUUGAUGUAACUUUAUCAUUUCCUUCCAAUCACAUAAUUCACCAACUCCUUCACCCAUAUAUUCAACAUUCCUUGUGAAAUUAUUUAAAUAUAUAUAGUCAGAAUGUAAGUGUAUAAAGGUGUGUUUGGUAAGAAGAAAUAUAUAUAUUUUUUUUGUAAAAAUAAAAUGAUCUUUUUUAUCAGGUACAUAAGUGAAAAAUUUAUUUGUAUAUUAUCUAAAAAAAUACUAAUGAGAAAUUUCAAUGAAAAAAAUAUUAAUUACUGAUAUAAUCAAUGUGAAUUAUAUAUUACUUGUAGAACUUAUUUUCUCUACUUUCAUUAAAUAAGAAAGUCAUUUUCUUCAUUUAUAAAAAAAUAUGUUUUUCUAGAAAAUAUACUUUCCAAUCGAACUUGAAAAGAAAUAUGUACCUUUUAAUUGUUGAAUCUCUUUUGCAUUUCACCAAAUUUACAAGAUGAAGAUUCAAAGGCAAAUUUAAAUCUAAUUUCUCUGCAGAUUUGAUCAUACUAGAAAAUAUAACUUCAAAUCCUAAAGGUGAAAUUUGAUCCUUGUUAUCUACUGCCCAACCAUACGUUUCAAUGAAGCCAAGACCUGAAAGAAAAUGAAGGAACUCUUCAAGUAAAAAAAAUAUACACUCCAACAAAACUUAUUAUAUAUUGUAUUCACAUAAUUAUAUUUUUAGUUAAUUAUAUAUCAACAAAUAAAUAAUUUUAUGGAUAAUUAUAAUUAUUUUGUUAUUUUACGGAUAAUUAUGUGUAUAUACUUUCACGAGGGAGUACUGGUUGUCACUUUUACUCUUUCUCUAUUAAAUUGAGAUCCAUAUUAAAUAAUGAUAAUUUUGUUUAAUUUAUAUCUUCUUCAAAGACAUGGUAAAAUAAACGUGACAAAUAAAAAUGAAUCGAAGAAAUAACAUAAUAGUGUUGAAUUGAACAAAUAAAGUCCAUUAACCUCUUUUGAUUUGCUCAUCUCCAACUCUCCAUUUGGUUAGUGCAAGCAAACAUGCAAGAGUGGAAGAAAGUGAGUCCUUUAGAAGCAAUGGAUGGGUAGGGUUUAGUCCCCAAGAUCCAUCUUCUCUUUGAUUUUCAAUAAUCCAAUCCAAACAUUGUGGAAAACAUGGCUCAUUUAGUGAAUGUCUUGAAGGGACCAUAGCUACCCAUGCUGUGUCAUAGGAAGAAGGAGAUAACUCUAAUUUCCCAAAACUUUCCCUUAUUCUAUCCCUUGCAUCUUCGAAACCAUUCUGCAAUGAGAAAUAUAUUCAGUGUAAUUUUACGAGUAAGAUUCGAAAAAGAUUUAGUGUGUAUGAUUGACUUGAUCACCUCUAGUUUGUGAAACAGGGAGGCUGAUUCUGAUAGACUGUCACAUCAAAUUAAAGUAGUUCGAAUAAAAUAAAACAAUAGAAGAAAAGAAGUCUAACACAAAAUGAUGUUAAAAGAAUGACAAAGUGUAAUUAAAAAGAAAUAGCUACUAUGACAAAAUAAUAUGACAAUGAAAGCGCAAGAAAUACUAUGAAAUAACAAGAAUCUCCUCAUUAAUUAAUGCUUUAAUACUAACUUUUUUGUCAGUGUCAUCAUUCAUAUCAAAUAGUUUUGCCUUAGAUUUCAUAUUUGUUAAAAAAAAUCAAUAAAUAAGUAUAAAUAAUAAAUUUCGAACAAAAUAGAUUAUACAGAAUGUGAUAGAGAAUAUCCCACUAGAAUUCAUAAAGUUAAAAUCAUGGAUCAGGCGCGCAAAGCAUCUUAAUUACCAUUGAUGAAGUGGUACUGUGGCUGCAUCUUACUCUACAUGAUCUCUGGAAAAUUGCAUCUGUUUUCAACAAUGACACAAAGAAAAAGAAAAAAGGUAAACUAAAGUCAAUUAGGGCAUUGUGUCACAAAAUAUAAUUAAAUUUGACUUAUGUAAAUGCUACUUCUUGCAAUGAUAAAAAAAAUAUGUGUCUUACUGGAUGAAAUUGUUUUCCCAUUGCCUAGCUUAGGAUGAGAAAGGGUUAUGAUUGUGCUUCUAUAGCCAACUAUCAUCCUUGAAUAUUGUGUGUUGUUUUUGGGAGUGGAGAGGUCAAAAAUGAAGAAAUUUCUCCUAUUUUGUGUUUGUCUUUGAUUUUGUUUCCUUUUUAUAAAUAAAUCUUUAGCGGAGAGAAAUGUUGAAAACAUUUCUAAUUGAAUUUAAUGCAAAUUAUUAAUUUCGUCACUCAAUUAUUGAUAGUCUUAAAAAUAAGGGGAAAAAAGUAUAAAAUAGCAAAUUAUUGAUUCAAAUUAAACAUUUGUCUUUCGUCACUCUCCAUUUCUCGCUAGCAUUCUCUCCAUCGCCUCUCUCACUUUAUACAAACACAAAUGUACAAAUUACGUUUGUGUUUGUAUAAAGUGAAAGAAAACUGUAUAUAUACAUAUUACAUAUCUUCUAAUUUUGUUCGCCUAUCCCUCCCCCACAGAAUCUCGCUCGCAGCCUUCCCAGAUCUUACCCGCCACUCUCGCUCACCUCUCUAACUUUAUACAAAUACAAAUCUAUAAAUUGUGUUUGUAUAAAGCAAGAGAAAAUUGCAUAUACAAAUAUAAAUAAACAUAUUUUCGUCCUAUACACUUAUAAUUAUAUAAAUACAUAUCUUCCUCUGACCAGUUUUCAUUUGUCAUCUCUUGUUCUCGCUUUAUACAAACAGAGAUUAUAUAAUUGCUCACUUUAUACAAACAGAGAUUAUACGAUUCAUUCUUUUGUAUACGUAUAUCAAAAUAUACAUAUUAAUAGCCAUAGCAAACAUAAAGUUUGCUAUCAAGUGCAAUUAUACAAACUAUAAUUAUUAACAUACAAAUAUGAUUUUUAUGUUUGUUAAACCUAAAAUUUACUCUAAAUAAUCGUUUAAUUGACUAAUUGAACUUAAAAUACACUCCAAUCUGCCACAUGACAUAUCAAGAGGUCUCAAACUCUUGUAGGAACGUGAGACUCUUAAUAAAAUGUCAAAAGAAGUGUUCAAAACACCUAUAAAGUUGGCGAGAAUUUGGGAUUUGUAUAUCACUGAUGUGGCAAGAUCAAGGGUGUAUAUGUUUAAGUUCAAUUCGUUAAGUAGAGAGUAGUUUUAAUGUUGUCAAUAAUUCAGAGACAAACAUAUUAAUUCACACCAAAUACAGUGAGUUUGAAAUUUGACUUUCGUUUAGCCUAUGAGCAAACCUUUAAAGUUAAUUCAAAAUUAAAAGUUGUUGAUUUUUAAUCAUGUUUAUGAAUCAAACGUGAUCAAAAGGUCAAAAUCAACUGUCUCCCAAAUAAUUUUUAUAAACUCGAGAUGAUUUGAAAUUUUUUUCAGCCAAUAGUUAUAUUUUCCAAUGUCAUGUUAUUAAAAACUUGAGGCUAAUUCCAUCCUGUAAUUUAUGACUAUAGUUAUAGUUAUCUUAGACCCUUAGCUGCGCUAUAGUCAGACUUGAUACUAUUAAAAAAUGUGCGAUUCUGAUUUUUCAAAUAUGACGAUUUGAGAAAAUUGAUAAUCUAGAAGGCUAUAUCAUGAAAAAAUUGUAAGAAUGAUUGAAAGAUAAUAAGAAUAUUUUGAAAUAUCUCAACCCUACCACAAAGUUUUACCAACCUAUUUUCUUUUAUAUAGAUAUGAGCUAUAUGACACAUGGAAAAUACAAUUAUAGCAAGUAGUUAGCGGUGAAUUAAUAUUGAAUUUUAAAGGGAAUAAUCAAUGGACGAUAUCACUCUUUCAAUUAAAUAAAGGGAUAAUUGUAUAAAAUGACAAACUAAUAAAAUAAAAUAAAUAUAGUAGCUAUCGUUUGAUUUAUUUGUGUUCUAUAGCAAAUUGUGUGCUAGUUCCUCUCUCCCUCAUAUUCUCGCUCGCCACUCUCCCUCUCUCACUCGAUUCCUUCACCCGUCUCUCUCGCUUUAUACAAUAGAAUUGUGGAAAUUCUGUUUCUAAUUGUAUAAAGCGAGAGAAAAAUUGUAUAUACAAAUGCAAAUUCAUAAAUCUCCGUCUUAUACACUUAUAAUUAUACAAUAAAAGUACUUCACUGCCCAAGUCUCUUUUUUCUUUCUCUCUUUCUCAUUUUAUACAAAUUCAAAUUGUAUAUAAUUUUUCUCUUUCUCGUUUUAUACAACUAGAUUCAAUUGUAUAUUCCCUGUUCAAGUCUCUUUUGCCUUUCUCCCUUUCUCAUUUUAUAUAAAUUCAAAUUGUAUAUAAUCGUCCUACACACUUAUAAUUAUGCAAAUACAAAUCUUCCUUUGCCCAAUUUUCAUUUGUCUUCUCUCGUUCUCGCUUUAUACAAACAAAGAUUAUACAAUUGCUCGCUUUAUACUAACAGAGAUUUUACAAUUCAUUCUUUUGUAUAUGUAUAUCAAAAUAUACAUAUUAAUAGCCAUAGCAAACAUAAAGUUUGCUAUCAAGCGCAAUUAUACCAACUAUAAUUAUUACAUACAAAUAUGAUUUUUAUGUUUGUUAAACCUAAAAUUUACUCUAAAAAAUCGUUUAGUUGACUAACUGAACUUAAAAUACAUUCCAGUCUGCCACAUGGCAUAUCAAGUGGUCUCAAACUCUUGUAAAACGUGAGACUCAUAAUAAAAUGUCAAAAGAAGUGUUAAAAACACCCCUAAAGUUGACGAGAAUUUGGGAUUGUAUAUCACUGAUGUGGCAAGAUCAAGGGUAUAUAUGUUUAAGUUCAAUUUGUCAAGUAGAGAGUAGUUUUAAUGUUGUCAAUAAUUCGGAGUCAAACCUAUUAUUCACACCAAAUAUAAAGGUAUUUUAAAUAUUUUUCUCUUUAUAUUAUAAUAUGGAAAGAGCUAAAUGGACAAAAAAAUUGACUAGAAAAUUAAAAAAAAAUUAUAAUAUUUUUUUAUUUUAUAAUAAACUGAUUUUUUUUCCAUUUUAUAAUUAAAAGAAAUUAAAAUUAAAAUAACAUAAAAAAAUAUCGUUGUGUCCAAAUUUUUUGGCCAAAAAGAUUUUUCCUUAUAAUAUCUCACUUUGGUGUAACGUUGAUGUGUAAUUAAAUGUAAAAAUGCACGUUUUGGCCUAUUAGCAAACCUUUAAAGUUAAUUCAAAAUUAAAAGUUGUUGAUUUUUAAUCAUGUUUAUGAAUCAAACGUGAUCAAAAGGUCAAAAUCAACUGUCUCUCAAAUAAUUUUCAUAAAAUCGAGAUGAUUUGAAAUUUUUUUCAUUCAAUAGUUGUGGUGACACCCAAUUUUGACCAUCUCCGAUAGAAAUUAAUUCAUGUGCUUCUUAAAUUUUCCAAGCAAUUUAAAAUAAUUAGUUUUAUAAAUUUUUAAGAAAAAAAAAUAAAGUUUGUGUUAUUUUGAAUAGUUUUGUCAUUUCUUAUAACUUUUGAAUAAUAUAUAUAUAUUACAUAAUUAUGUAUAUAAUUAGUAUAUUUUAUGAUUAUUCAAAAAAAAAACCAUCUCAAAAAUAUUUUAAUUUUAGUAAGUAUUCUAUUUAGCUAAUAUAGUUUAAAUUAUGGUUAUAUUUUGAACCACUAUUUUAUAAUUUAUUAUAUUACUAAAUUAAAGAAGCUCGUUGAUUAAUUAAUACAAAUUCGUUUUAUUUAAGGUUUAGCCGAAUUUAUUAUCUUAACUCAAUUUGGCUAUUUAUCAAAUUUAACCCAUUCUUUAAAUCCACCAAAAGAUCUUAGUUUUGGGCCAUUUACACACUCCCUUUAAUUUCCAGGCCCAUUUGUAUUUCUUCUUCUCCCAGCCCACUUCAGCAACCCAACACUUCUCCCAAACCCCAAGCCUAAUAAAUUUCCAACCCACCUCAUUCCCUUCCAGGCCCACUUUAUUUUCAGACACCCAAGCCCAAUUACAUGGCCCAUUCCGUUUUAAUUAAUUUCCAACCCAAUUCCCUUUUUCCCUUUCCCUCCAACCUUUCAAAAUUCAAAAUUCAAAAUUCAAAAUUCUAAUUCUAACAAAUUUUCCCCUCUUUUUGCCAUAAUUUGGCUUAUAAAUAAUCCUCAUCUUCUUUAUUGUUAGGGGUUGGUGGAGAGAAAGAAGAAAAGAGGGAGAAAGAAAAAGAGAAGAAAAAAAAGAAAGGAAUGGUUUUUGGAGAGAAUUUUUUUUUUUUACAUCUUGUGAUAGAAAAGAAAAGAAUUAUUGAAAGAGUUUAUUCAUAGGAAGAUUUUACAAUAGUUUAAGCACACCUAUAUAUCUAUUGAAGUUGAAUUAAAAACAGAAGGAUUGCGGGGUUUUUGAUUAUCAUUUGAAUUCGAAGUUGUGUAGUGGAAGGUCAUCCCUUUGCUCGUUUCGUCUCUAGCUCGCUGCCCCGAAGAAGGUGAAAUCCUUUUUUUUUUCUUUUUAGAUGUUGUCAUUCCACCUUGCUAACUAUUUUUUUUUUGUUUUGUUUUCUUGUGUGACAUCGAUUCGAGUCCAUUUUGGAUUCCAUUCUUGCAUUCCUCGUUGAGCCAUAAAGGCUCAAAAUACUUUUUCCGAGUCAGCCAAUCCCCUGAAAGGAUGUACAGGUCGAAAGCAAAACCAUUGGAGAGCUGCUGGAAGUAGCGGAUUGCAGGCAUUUGGCUGCGAUUUUUGUUUUGAAGUUGUGUAUCUGGUUUACACACAAUAUAUACACUGUGAUACAGGUCAAAAAUCCACAGGAGGCCCAAAUUCAAAAUCUGAAUUGACGACAGGAAAAUUACGUUUCUGGAAAGGAGUUUUCAACUUUCGAAAGUUGAAAAACAGGCUUAUAUACAGCCUGUAUACACAGAUAUACAGAGAUGAUAUACUAUAUAUAUGCUCAAAAAUAUGAUUGGCAGGGGAACGUACACGGACGCUUGUUUUAACUAAAAUUCGGGAUUAGGCAAUUAAUACGGACGCAGGGUGCAGCCCGUAUACAUUAGUAUACAUUAUCGGGCGACGAUAUAUAAUUGUUAAACAGGUUUAAAAAAUGAUACAGGUACAAAUAUGCAGAGACGAUAUGCGAAAUAUAAGGGAAAUAGCUGAAAAUGCGUAUAUAAAUAAAUGCAGGGCUCAAAAGGUCCAAAAUGGAUGCUGAUAUACACCGUAUACAACAGUAUACAUCUUUUGUAUACUUUAUAUCUCCUUUUUCAGGAAAUUGGGCUAAGGCCCUUCAGUUCCCUUUUAUCAACAGGCCCAAUAAUCAUUUGUUUUUACAGGUUUUUUUUUUAAAAAAAAGGGCCCAAAUCUAAGUAAAUAGAUUAGGAUAGGUGGGCCAAAGCCCAAUUGGAUGGAUUUGGGCAAUCAAACCCAAGUUCAAAUAUUUUUCUCUCUUUAUUUAUUAUUUGUUUGAAUUAAUUAGUGUUUUGGUAGAAUUUUAAUAAUCUCCUAAAGAGUAGCCAUUUUUCAUUAUUUUAAAUUUUACUAUUUUAUUCACUUUUAUCACCAUUUAGUUUUCCUUAAAUUAAUUCCUCUAAACAUUUCCCUUUAGAAAAAAAAAAAGUAAAAAGAAUGAAAUACAAAAUAUCAAAAUGAAUUUUCUCUUUUACUUAGUUAAAAAUUUUUAUUUUAAAAGUCAUUUAGUCAAAUCGCCGGUCAACCGCAAGUUAGCGGGCAUCCCGAGGGCCUAACACCUUCUCGAGAUGUACAUUGAACUUCGAACCCUUUUCAAUUGAUUUUUAAUCUGUUUUUUAAAUCUUUUGAAGUUUUUCUUGAUUUUAUCAAAAAUCAAGUGGCGACUCCAAUUUUGAAGGUCGGUUUUUCUUAAACAAUAAGAUUAAUUGAUUUUUCGAAACCUAGUCAAUUUUUUCUCAUUUCUCCCAUUAAACAUAAACAGUAGUAUUUUUUUAAGUAAAACAAGUUGUAUUUUCCAAUGUCAUGUUAUUAAAAACUUGAGGCUAAUUCCAUUCUGUAAUUUAUGACUAUAGUUAUAGUUAUCUUAGACCCUUAGUUGCGCUAUAGUCAAACUUGAUAACUAUUAAAAAGUAUGUCACUCUGAUUUUCACAUAUGACGAUUUGAGAAAAUUGAUGAUCUCGAAAGCUAUGUCAUGAAUAAAUUGUAAGAAUAAUUGAAAGAUAAUAAGAAUAUUUUGAAAUAUCUCAAUCCUACCACAAGUUUUACCAACCUAUUUUUCUUUAUAUAGAUAUGAGCUAUAUGACACAUGGAAAAUACAAUUAUUGUAAGUAGUUAGGGGUGAACUAAUAUCGAUAUCUUUUUUACUUUUUUUUCUUUUAUCACUAAAAGUGCAUUCAUUGUAGACUAAAACACAUUAAAUAGAGUUUUAUAUCCUUUCCUCAUACAUGGUCCCUCAUUUUCUUCUUAUAAAAACAAUUGGAUUAUAAUAUAUGUUAUUUUAUAAUAUUUAUGCAUAAGAUAUCAUAUUUUGCUCAUUAUAUCCUUAUUGAUUAAUUAAUUAAUCUUAAAAAUAUAUUUACUUUAACUAAUCUUGAAAAUCUAUAACUAAUUAAAUAAGGCUAUAGAAAUAAAAUUAUCUAAUUUCCUGUUGCAAGUACAAAUGGAAAAAGUGACUUAUAAUAUGGGACGGGGGGAGUAAUUGAUAAUUUCUAUCUAAUACACCUUGACCAGAGAGAUGUCAAGGUGCGUGAUUAUAUAGGCCGAUGAAGACGGAUCAAAAGAAAAAAAACUGAUAGAUAUUUAUGUUGAUAAGAUUUUAAAUAAAGGUUGCAUCUGACAUUUUAGAUAAAUAAGUAAAGUGAAAGAGCAUUAUUAAGUGAAAGGUGUAUUCGUUCUUUAUUGGUAUUAUCAGUUAUUUAGGAGAUAAUUGAUUUAGCAAUUUUUAGUCUUUAUCUAUUUGAUACAUACUUUAUAAAACAUAACACAAAUUCAUAACUUACACUUUUGAACUUGGUGAUGGCGUAGUUCAGGGGUGUUAAAUGGUGGGUUGGGUUGAAAUUGGAAAUAUUACAAUGGGUUUGAAUAGAAAUUGGGUUGGGUUAGACCCGCCCAAAUUUACUUUGAACUCAAAUGAGCUAAAAAUAGGUUGGGCCUUGACCCGCCCAAUUUGAUCCGAUUAAUCUUAGUUAUUUAACAUAUUGAUAUUUAACUUUUAUAAUCACAUUUUGAAGUUCCGUUCAAGAAUUUUUUGUUAAAAAAAGUAACAAAUGGAUAGAUAAAUCAUAAAAAAGGCAACAAAUCGAUAAUAAUUUAUAUUGUAAAUAUAGGAACAUAUCUUAAUACUAAGUUCUAAAACGGGUUGAAAUUGGAGAUUGAAUUAGGCUUAAUUGAGAAUUCUCUUCAAAUAGGUUAAGCUUGAAUGGGUCGAGAUUGAACCCAAUUCAAAUUAUCUUGAGCCCAACCCUUAAAAUUCUGGGCGAAUUGGGCAUGUUACCAUGUUUGGGUUCAUUUUUAACGCCCCUAGCGUAGUCGAAAGAAGUCAAUCCAUGAGGUUUGUAAAACAAAUGCGAAUAAUUUACUCUACCAUUGAGCUUGUUAGUCAUAUGGUGUAGCAAAAUGGUAGAUUAUCGAAAAAAUAUCUUAAUUAUGCUUCAUAGUUAUAAUUUGUUAAUUACAAUUAGUAGCUACAUGUUAUAUGGAGGAGAGUGGCGAGCGAGAUUGGGAGAGGAAAGAGAGAAGUGAGUGAGACAAGGUAGAGAGUGGGAGAGAGGCGAACUGCAUAUGCAUAUUUGUCAAAAUAAUUGUAUAUAUGUAACUGGUAUACAUACGUAUUCGUAUAUCUGGUGAGUGAGGAGAGAAAAGAGAGAAGCGAGCGAGAUUGGAAGAGGAAAGAGAGAGCCGAGCGAGAGAGGACAAUAAUUUAUGUAAUUCGCAUCUCAUUUGUAUAAUUAAUUUUGUUCGAAAUGCGGUUCAAUAUAAUUUUUUAACCAUAAGCAUAAACAACCCUAUAUAGAACUAUUGAUCAAUAUAGAACUAUUGAUCUAUUGAUCAAAAGAGUCAUACCAUAAUUCUAUUUAAACACCACCUCCCUUGUUUCACUUCACAAUAAAAUAAAUUUGAGUAAUAAAGCAUGAGUUCUUUGGUUCUUCAAUGUUGGAAAUUAUCAUCUCCAUCUCUGAUUUUACAACAAAAUACAUCAAUAUCCAUGGGUGCAUUCAAAGGUUAAUUACUUAUGGGAAUUAUUUAAUUUUGUUCAUACCUUAUAUACGUACACAUGAAAAAAUUGACUAUUAAUUUUGUAGGUAUUCAUAAACUUCAAAUCCCAAAUUCGCCUCUGACAGUGUCUGCUCGUGGACUCAACAAGAUUUCAUGCUCACUCAACUUACAAACCGAAAAGCUUUGUUAUGAGGAUAAUGAUAAUGAUCUUGAUGAAGAACUUAUGCCUAAACACAUUGCUUUGAUAAUGGAUGGUAAUAGGAGAUGGGCAAAGGAUAAGGGUUUAGAAGUAUAUGAAGGUCACAAACAUAUUAUUCCAAAAUUAAAAGAGAUUUGUGACAUUUCUUCUAAAUUGGGAAUACAAAUUAUCACUGCUUUUGCAUUCUCUACUGAAAAUUGGAAACGAUCCAAGGUAUUUGCUUUCGUACAUUUUACACUCUCUGUCCCAAUUUAUGUGGUGUUCAUAAUCAUAUUUUGAUUUUCAGACUCAGAUAUUUUCCUGCAUGUUCUUCAUGUUUUUAAAAAAAUUAUGACUUGUUCUUUUAAGAUAUGUAUAGUUUAAAUAAAGUGGAUUUAGCUAGGAACUUUAUCAAUAACUUGCUCGUACUUAUUAUAAAAUUCAUAGCUAAUUCAUCGUAAAUAGGAUUAACAAUAAAUUUCAUUAUUUAUCUAUAUAAUUUAUUUUUCGAUAAAUCUUGUUUUGCAUAGUAAUUUUGACAUAUUCUCUUUUACCUGGCUACUAAAAUUAUUAAAGUUUGUGAAAAAUAUGAUCACAAUAUUAACUAUUUAAACUACCAUUCUGUUUCAGUGAACUUAUAAAAAGCGCUUUCAAGUAUAUCUUCUUAAAAAUAUUUUUGGAGAAACACUACUUUUUUUAGCUACUCAAUAGCUUAUGCAACUCGAUCCCUAGCUUAAAAGUUUUGAUCAAGCACUUUUUUUUUAAACGAACAUUUUUUACCUCUUAAAAUCCCAAUUACAGAACUCUUAAAAUUUGAAUGAUACCAUAAAAAAUGAGAUGGAGGGAGUAUUAUAUUUCUACGAGUACAAUGAUUUCAUAUAUAUAGAGAGAGUCAGAUUUUUAUACUAAACGUUGCUUAAGUAUUUUGAUGUAUGGGGUGAAAAAUGUAAAUCUUUUUUAGCUCUGAGAGAAAUUUAAUUUGUUCGUUUUGUUUUAAUUUGAAUUAAGAAGUUUAACAAGUAAUGAAGACUUUAAAUUUUAUUAAAAUUUAAAUUAAAGAUAUGUCAAAUACAUCUAAGUAUCUUUUAAUCUUAUGAUUCUUAAGGUGCGAAGUUUGAAUUAACGAUUCAUUAAAAGAGGAAAAAAGUCAUUCCUUUUUAAUUGAACUAAAACAAAAAAUAGGACAAAUAAGUUGAGACGAAUGAAUAUAAUUUAUUGAAUUUGUAUUUGUGUUUCUUUUGCUCAAGUAUAUAUAACCAUUUAUUUUGGUGCAGGAGGAGGUUGAUUUCUUGUUGCAAAUGUUCGAAGAAAUCUAUGAUGAGUUUUCGAGGUACUGAAUUGUCUAAAUUAAAAUGUAGGAAAAGGCUAAAAAAUUUCCUUAUAUAAUGUAAAAUUAAUUAAAUAAAAAUAUUUUUAAUUAAUAUUUUGAUCUAAAAAUAUUUCGUCAAUAGUUAAUCUAAAACACUCCUAUUAUUACUUAAUGAGUCAAAAAUAUCAUUUUCCCAAAUAAGUAUAUUGUAUUUGUUUAGUUUUAAACACAUUCUUUUGGUAAUAAUAAUUCUUUCAUUAGCAAAUACUUAUCCUUCUUCUAUUCGAAAAAGAUUAAAAAAUACAAAUACAUUCUAUUUUGUUAGUGUUUUAGAUUGUUAUAGAAACAAAAUUAAUGAUAAGGUUAUUAUGAUCUUUUAUAUAUAAAAUUCAUAUUAUUAAUCCAAAAAGGUACAUGUAGUAUUCUAUUUUGAUUGAUAAAAUGAGAAUAAGAAGUAAAAUGCCUCCUUAUUUCUUAGUUGAAAUCUAAAGGAAAAAACAAUUAUUAUAUGUAUUAUUAACAUAAUGCUAUAAGUGAUAAAUUGAUAAAGGAAAAAACUUAUUCGCAACGAGUGUUUACACAAAGUCAAUACAAAAUGUAUUAUUACGUGAUAUAAUGAAGUAAAUAUGAACUAUAAAUUUAAACACAUGUCAUGCAUAUAUUGACUUGGUGUAAAUACCCGAUGCAUAUAAUUUUGCUUGAAAUAAUGCUUGAAACUCAAAAAAAGACUUGGUAUACCUCAUUUUAAUAUGCUUGAAACUAUUAAAAAAAAAUUGUAAUUCACUUUGUUCAGCCCUUUUCAUUAUUAAUUUUUAUUUUUAAUAAAGUACAAAAAAAAAAAGCUAAAGUAGGCAAAAUAAUUAUACUUUUUUUUAUUGUUAGACAAAAAUUUGAGGCCCCCAAGGCAAAGGCGUCCUUUUUCCAUGCAUAGAGCCGUCCCAGUAUUGCCCUCUCGAUAUUUUAAGUCUUUUGAUAUAUUUGACUCGAAAUGAUUCAUUUUUACAAUAGAUCAAAUUUUAAAAAUUAUAUAAUUUUUCAAUAUAAUAAAAAUAUAUAACAUUGUUUUAUUAUUUCUUUUUCCCCAUUAUGAAUAGGUCUGGAGUAAGAGUGUCUAUUAUAGGUUGUAAAUCCGACCUCCCAAUGACAUUACAAAAAUGCAUAGCAUUAACAGAAGAGACUACAAAGGGCAACAAAGGACUUCACCUUGUGAUUGCACUAAACUAUGGUGGAUAUUAUGACAUAUUGCAAGCAACAAAAAGCAUUGUUAAUAAAGCAAUGAAUGGUUUAUUAGAUGUAGAAGAUAUCAACAAGAAUUUAUUUGAUCAAGAACUUGAAAGCAAGUGUCCAAAUCCUGAUUUACUUAUAAGGACAGGAGGUGAACAAAGAGUUAGUAACUUUUUGUUGUGGCAAUUGGCUUACACUGAAUUUUACUUCACCAACACAUUGUUUCCUGAUUUUGGAGAGGAAGAUCUUAAAGAGGCAAUAAUGAACUUUCAACAAAGGCAUAGACGUUUUGGUGGACACACAUAUUGAGGAACAAAAAGAAGUUUCUAGUAUCUCUUGUUUAAUGUGUUUUUUUUCUUUCUAAAAAAAUAAUGUUAUGUCGAUUUGUUAAAUCAUACGAGCAUCAUUAUGCACGAUGCCAGUUCAAUAAAAUAACAAAUUUCUAACCUCCUAACCUCAUAGAUAGAUUUUAACGCAUCUAUUAUGUUAAAGAAAGUUAUUCAUCUCACAAAUGUUCGCUCAAGAAAAAUUAGUUCAUGUAAAUAAUAAUUGAUAAUUAAGAUAUUAGUUUGAUGAUAGGGUGAAGAUCAAUGCUUGCCACAUAAAAAUAACAUUAUUGGACAAAUUCUUUUUCCAAAUCCAAAUGCCAAAAACUCGUUAGAUAGAUUUUAUAAUCCUUUUAUUUUCACAUCAUCAUCGUUAUCGAUAUAAUUAUUGAAUCAAUUAGGAAAAAAUUUCUCAGAAUCGUCUCAAUAUUAAGGGUCCCUUCCCAUUUGACUAAGGCUAUUGUUUUGUUUUGUAUAAUGUAACCAUUAACCUCACAUCGUUUUGUUGAUUCUCUUGAUAAAGACACUUAAUUAUUUCGAUCCUAAUAAGAAAAAAGCUUUAGAGUUUCUUUAACAACCAACUUCAAAAUACUUCAAAUUAUUAACAAUAUGUUCAAUUAUUGUUUUUUUCCACCUUUCAAAGUCUAUUUGGGCUUUUUCUCAUCAAGGCCCAUUCAAUUAUAGUUGAUGUUUGAGUCACUUCUCGCAAUGAAAAUAUCUUGUAUAGGAUGUAAAAAUUAUACAGUAUAUAUGAGCUAGUUUUAAAUAUACACUAAUAAAGUAAUUAGUUUACAAUACAUAUCUUUAUGUUAAAAAAAAGAGUCAAAAUCAUAGAAAUUAUAUAUUAUCUAUAUACUAUAAUAUAUUGAAAACAAUGAAAUAUACCCUUUCAAGUAUAAAGUAGUUAAGAAACUCAUUAAAAAUAAAUAUUAAUAUAAAAUAAAGCCACAAUAUUCUCUUUGGCCAUGAAAAAGAAUCAUUUCUUUUAAACUAUGCAAAAAGUCUUAAUAUUUUUACUUCAUAUAAACUAAAAUAAAUAAUAUUUAGUUAAGUCUUGAAAAGUGAUUUAAGAAAUAAAUUAUUAAUGAUAAAAAACAAUAUAUAUAUAUACAUAUAUAUAAAUUAUCUUUUCUUAUUGUUAAAAAUAAACAAAUAUAGUAUGUGUUAUCGUAAAUUCCAACAUUUUUAUGUCACAAAUUUUAAACCUUUUUUCUCCCUCUCGAUUUUUACCAAAUUUUGCCAAAAAAAAUCUAUCUUCCUUCCACGUGUCUUCAUAUAAUUCGUUGGCUUUAUCUAUAAAUAAAAUCUUUUCUUCCUUUAGCCAUAACUCUGCCCUUUGUUCAGUUCAACUUUUUUGCGGCCGCCUCUUAUUCGCUUGGUGCAGGUCGGGACCUCAUUCGCCGGCGCCGGGAAUAAUGCCGGACGAACGACGGCGGUGUUAAUUCUACUAAAGCUGUCACCGACGGAUAGAUGUUUGAUUAGCGGCGAAAUUUGGGUCCUGCCUUGCAUCAACUGAAUUGGAGACCGCUGUGAAAUGAAGAUUUUGGAUUGAUUUAAUCUAACCCAGAUUCGGUUUAGAUCGAUCUAGUAUUGGCGAUUUGCUUUGCCUCAGGUUUAAUUUGUUCGAUUUGAUUUCGAUUAUUAAUUAUGUUUAUGUGUAUAUGUAUAUGAGUUUUGUAAUUUGUAUUUCAGAUUAGAUUUGCCUGGAUCUGACUUUAUAGAUUGGUGAGCAUGUGAUUCAAUUUUUAGAUCUUGUUUUUAUAUAGACUCACACACGGGAUUUUGACUAAUAUUUUACGAUGAAUGUAAUGAAAAAGUAUUGUAAUUUAUAGUAUAGUUGUUAAACUUUGGAAUUUAAAACUUAGAAUAUUGAAUUAAUCUAAUUCUAUUCAGCUUUGAAAAUUAGUUAAAUUGACUUUUGUAAAGCGAAACAUUUAUAAGUAGAAGUGAGCGAAGGGAGUAGUUCACGGGACGUAGGAGGUUUUCAUUAGAUUGCAGUUAGAGAUACAAUUAAUUUUAUCCUUGUUAUAUGAUUCAAGUUUAUAAUUAUAGUUGGGAUCUCUUUAAUCAUAAGAUUUUGUGAAGUAUUUGUUUUUUCAACUCCAAGUUGUUACUGAUGUGUUCUGCGAUUUUCUGAUGCCCUCAUUUAAGUAGGGAAGUGUUAAAGGUUUUGUAUUUGAUUUUUGUGAUCACUUUUAUAUAUAUGGAAACUCUUUUACGGUAACACGUUCGAAGUCUUUCUUUUAUGAAAUGAAGAGGAAAAAAUCAUAUUUGGUGGUUUGACAUGAAGAAGCAUGUAAGAUAACUCUUUCUCAUUAAAUUAUCAAUGUCCACCCUCCGAGAUUUUACUGAAAAAUUUCGUGAUUUAAUGCCACACUGUUGCAUAUAUUUGACAGACUGCGAGGCAAAACUAUAAAGAUUUGAUCUUUGGUUUCUUAUGAACACUUUUAUAUAUCUAGAAACGUUUGCUCAUAACACCCUCCAAGAUUUUACCGAUGCCUUCUGUGAUUUGAUGCCUUACCGCUACACAUAUCUGAUAGAUUGAUUGGCAAAUUUAUAAAGAUUUGAUCUUUGAGUUCUGGUGAUACUGUUAGCAUGAAGUUUAGAAGAUUUACGUAUAUGUUAGUGAAUGUGGAUUUUAAGAGAAAAUUAAUUUAAAACUUCUGCUUUCCUAACACUCAUUUCUCUUGGGAUUGCAGCAAUUUUCAUGAAACUAAUGGCUAAACGAUGUUUUGGAUACUCUAAUUGGUCAUAGAGUUUUCUUGGACUCUCCAAAAUGCCGAUGGGUGCGUGUCUUCCAAAGGCCUUGUAUAGACAUUUUUAUACUCUAAUUGGUCAUAGAGUUCACUGACUAGAAAAGCUACGAUGCUGUGAAACUGUGAUGGAACUUUGGAAAAAGAUUAUUGUUACCCUCUGCUAUGUAUGUGGAUGUCAAUCUCCUCACAUACUCUGUCUUCUAUGAAUUUACCAGUCUGGGAUCUAAUCUGAUUGCAUUCCUUCCUAGGUAAUGACAACUUUUUACAUUGCAAAUAAGCAGCUUAUUACAGCAUCUCUACUAGACUUUUUUCUUCGCCCACGAGUUUAUCCACUGUGUCUCCACCUGCCAAUUAUCAGCAGUUCUUUCUAUAUUCAGCCAAUUCAGAAUCCUCUGCCAUACGGCUAUAGUCAUUCUGCAGAUUCCACCAAAUGAAAAUGGAUGUUAUGUUGUGGGAUUUGAGCUACACUUACUAGUUUUAUUUUAUAGUGUCGCCCAUAUAUGACUGUGUCCACAGAAAAAAGGUUUGGUUUUUCAUACAGCCAGUUGUAUUAUAUUUUUCUAUACAUAAUAUGUUAUAGGUUAUAAUUCUCAUGCACAAGGGUUGCACAUAGAGUUGUUUCCAUCAGAUUUUCUUGCUAUUUGGCUCUUCAGUUUUCCCUUUUGCCCCAACUAUUCUCUAAAAAAAUUUUAGUGGGUAUUUUCGACAUAAAACAUGUUCGUUUCUUGUAGACUUUGUAUUGUUUAGUUUCUAUGAUUACUACACUAUUUUCUACUUUUUUGACUUCAAAAACAGUUUCUCUAUCUCCACAAGGUAGUGGUAAGGUCUCGGUACACUCUACCCUCUCUAAUGAAAUCUCACUGAAUAUGUCGUCGUGAUUGUACUUUCUCUUUAGUCCAUAAAAAUGCUGUGGACAUACAAUUCCGGAAAAAAAGUGAAAAUUAUCCAUGGUCAAAGAGGCAAUGUUUUCUGUUUGGUGUUUGUCGAAUGUAAAACAGGGAAUCUUUUGUAUUUGUUCUGUGAAAAUAGAUAUAUCCUCUUGGACUGAUAUAGGCAGGAAUAGGAAUAUGCUGCUUAUGGCAAGAUUUCAAGGAUAUAAAACCACUGCCAUGUAUGGACAAUAGGUAAACUUUUGAAAAUAACCUCUCCAUAUUAUUAUUAUAUAUACAUUCACUUCUCAACAAACAUUUGUUGACCAAAGUUUAAUAAAGAAGUAAAAUAAGAGAAGUAAGCCUAAUAUCUGAAGAUACAAAGGAAAUUAGUGUUACAAGGCUAAAUUUGAUGGGAGGUUUGAAAUCACCCUCUUUUUUUUAAAAUUAGUUUAGAAGUUCAUCUUUCUUCUUAAUUGUAUUUUUUUCUUCAAACAAAAAAGUAAUUUUCAAAGAUAAUAACUAUAUUUGAGAAAUCAACUCCAAAAAUAAAGAUGAAGUAGUUUUAGAAGUAAUGUUAUCUUGUAAUAUAUAGUACAUCAUUAAAGAGGCAGUCCCACCAUCAUGAUACAAUGCACAAGACACUCGUUUCAGAACUUUGUAAAAUAUUGAUAUGAGAAAACAUUUUCCUCUUUCCUACCAAAUACUAAUAAGAUAAAAAAGACAGUUCGAUGCAUAAAAUAUCUCAAAAUUUUAAAUAAUAUAUUUGGAGAGGGUCACACUCAAAAGGUGUGAUGUAGAGAGCUUACUCUAAUAUGAUAUUAUUGGCCAAAUAAAAAUGUUUGAGAGUUUUAUUCAGGAUUCGAAAUAUGCCAUUAAAUUUUGAUAAAAAUAAAAUAUUUGGCUCAUCUACAUCAUUAUUUAUUAACUGAAAUAGCAUAAAUGAGUCAAACGUUUAACGGAUGACAUAGAUGAACUUUUUCUCAAAGUGCAAUGACAUAUUUGAACCUUUUCCCUUUUAAAAAAUGAUUUCAUUAAUGAUGUGACCGAAUCAUAAUUGAAAACGAAAACAAUUUUUAGUUGAUAAAUAAUGACAUGGUUUGACCUUUUUCUCACAUGGAAAUGAUAUACACGAGCCAAACUUUUAACGGAUGGUAGAGAUGAACCUUUUCCCUAAGUUUUAUGACGUAUUUGAGUUCUUUUCCUUGUUAAAAAAGGACAAGGGAUUACAAAUAACGGUUAUACAAUUAUGUGUAAGUUUUGGCUAUAUGUUAUCUCUUCUCUCAUGAUCUACCUUUUAUGUUCUGGUAUUUCAUCUCCUUUCUUAUGUUAUUCUCUCCUUAAAAGUAGUGUUACUAUUACCUUGUUAUUCGAACUCUUUAAGUUAUAAUUUGAGUUCAAUAGAGAUAAAAUUUAUGUGUUUGUGUUGAAAAUUGGUUUGUUACAGGCUUAUUGAUCCAAACCCUUCAUGAUGCCUAAGAAGCUAUUGAAUCGUGGCGUAGAAGGUGAAUCCUAAGUCGAUAAGGGGACUACUAAUUUAAGGGAUCGUUUGGUUGGAAACAAGAUAUUUCGAAAUUAAUUAUAUUUCAGUUAUUAUGAAAUAAGUUAUUCCACCAUGUAUAUUGGAUACUUUAUCCCACCGACCACCAUUAAAAUAUAAAUGAUGAAAUUAAUAAUUUUACGACUGUCCAACACCUUCAACUAAAUGUAAAAUUAUAAUAAUCCUACAUUUUAUUCCCAACUAUUCCUAAAAAUUUGGAAAUAAGGCAGUAAUUCUAAGCACAUGUUGGAAUCUAGCUUGCUGUGUAAAUGUGUGUAGUGAUUAAUGGAAAACUACAAUUACCAAAAGUAUUAAAAGAAAAUAUUACGCCUUUUAUCUCAUAGGAUAUAUAUAUAUAUAUCAUAUUUAUCUCGGAUACAUUAAAAAUUAGCUCGAAAACAUUAUAAAAUAAAUCAAAUAUAUGAUAUAAUUCGGAUACAAUAAAUAUUGGUUCAAAUACAUUAAUAUAUAACUCAGAUACAUUAAAGAAGUAAGAAAUUUUAAAGAUUUUUAGAAAUAGAAGGGAAUAUUAAAAAUAAAAAAAAACAUUAUGUAUUUCAAUAAUUUUUCCUAUUUUUAUAGCUUGGAAGAUUUACAAGGCUAGUGGCCCAUCACUACUCGUAGCAGAGACGAAUAUAUGAUCAUAGGUUUGUUAGGAAGGAGGAAUACGAGAUAAUUAAUUUCGAAAUUAAUGUUAGGAUGAGUUUAUUAUAUUUAUAGAAAUAUAAUUAUAAAAAAACUUAUUCCGAUAUUAAUAAAUAGACGCAAACACAAAUAUCUAUCAAAGCUGUUAGACUCUAUAUAUAUAAGCAUACACCAUUUCACAAUUCUCCAAAAUCACACAAAAUGCUGGUAAUUACAUCCAAUUACAGACUUUCUUGUCAUAUUCAUCGACUAAAGAGUCCUAACUUUUUGUUAACUCAGCAAGCUGAAUUUAAAAGACAUGGAUCUAGUAAGUUUCAUAUACAAUUUAUUUAUUUUCUUCUUUUUUAAUUUAUUUAUCUUUUAUUUUUACUUAUCGUCACUGUAUUUUGUAUAUUUAUAGGAAAUUGGCUAUUCCAAACUGAAGGCUUACCCCCACUUAGUCUCAAUUGUGCACCUAAUGAUGCAAGUUAUUUUGGUAUGCAUAUUUUAAACAAUUGCCUAAAGAGUAGUAAUAAAAAUAAAUAUAAUGAGAUAAAUGAAAUUUCUAUUUUAUUAAUUAGAGCCAUUUGAUGUCCAGCGGCAAAUCUAAAGUAUGAAAUUUAUGAUUUUUAAUAAUAACUAAAUUGACAAUUAAAAUCUUUACCGUUAUCAAUUGCGGAAAAAGAAUUCAUUGCUCUACGGAGGAUAUUUUUAAAAUUUCAAAUCUAUAUACCUAUUUAUGUGGAGGGUAUUUUUGAAAUUUUAAUAUCUUUGUUUGAUAUAAGAUUUUUUUUCCCCUCAAGUAAGUGAGAUUUAACGUAGAUAAAAAUAUUUGAUAACAUUAUCAAACAUUUUUCAAUAAAGAAAUUUGUCGUAUCUUGAUACUGAUUAAAAAAAAAAAUGUGACGUAUAAUUUGAUACUUUGAAAAUUGUAUAAGAUCACUUUUUAAUAUAGUUUAUUUGAUCUGUAUUGACAUGGUGCUUAGCAUCUUGUAUAUCUAUAAAUAAAAUUUAUUAAAAUAAUUUUUAACAGUAAUUAAUUAACAAUAAUUAUAAUUUAAUUGCGAUUAAAUAUAUAUUUCAAUGACAUUAUCAUUCUUUGUAGAUGUACUUAAAAUCUAUAGUAAUAUUAUAACGACAAUUAACUGAUGUCAAUAAAUAUCUCAACACUCUUUUAUAUUUGAUAUUUAUAGUUUAUAACAACAAAGCAAUUUCUUUUUUCUGUAUGAGCUACGCUUUUUUUUUUUUUUGAUUAAUUUGCAGGUAACGUUAGUGAUUUAAAAUCUGAUCACUCCAACAAGUAUGAAGAAAAGGAUAUUCAGGUGGUAAUUAGAAAUUAAUUACACUCAAAUUUAAUUUAUUUAAAGUUUAUUUGGUGUGAGGAACGUUAUUUUCUAUUAAAAUAAUAGUUUUUUUUUCAAGAAAAUACUUUUUUGGUAUUUGAUAAUGAGUGAUAGAUAUUAUUCUAAAAGAUAUUAACGAUAAUUAAAAAUUAUAUUAGCAAAUUAAGUAGUAUUUUGAUGAAAAUUUUGGGUGUGAAGAAAUGAUAAAAAUGUUUAAUAUUAGUGGGGGUAAGUAAAAUGAAAUUAAAAGCUAAAAUACUCGUAAAAAGAAUAAUUUCCAUCCUUAAGCUACGGAAAUAAUUUAUCCCUUUUUGAUGGAUUUUCAUUUUAAUUUUCUUUAUCCAAACACCAAAAUAAUAAUUUUUUUUGUUAUAAAAAACACACUUUUCUGAAAAUUGAUUCGUCGUACACAAACCUAAAUUAUCUCAAAUAUAAUUGUCACAUUCAAAUUCUCGAAAGUCAAUAAUUUAACAAAUUUUUAUAGCUAAUUGUACUCUAUAAAUUAUAGAAUUUGGAUAUUAAAAAAAAAACUACAAAAGAGUGAUAAAAUAUAUAUGAUAUUAGUAAGAGCUAAAAAUAAUGCUAGUAUCGUUAAUAAAUUAUCGCUAAAUGUCUUUUUUGACCUAUCUAAUAUUAUACUUUUUCUGUCCCUUUUCACUUAUUCACUUUUGAAUUGGCACAUGUAUUAAGAAAAUAAUCAAUGAUGUAGUGAAUUUACCAUUUAACCCUAUUAAUUAUGAAGUGGAUGAAAAGUACUAAAUUUUUUAAAGUAAUAGUCAUUUAAUUGUGGAUAUAAUAGGUAAAAAAAAUUGUCUUUUCUUAAUUUGUUAAAAUGGACAAGUAAUUUAUAAAAGGAAAAGUAAAUCAGUAAUUAGGGACGAAUAUAGUAUUUGUUAAACCAAAUUAUAAAUAAACUAUAUAUUAAUUGUCUCAAACAAUACAAAUAUGUGGGUUCACGUGAGUCUAUAGGAGCAUUUGUCUAGGUCAUGUAAAUAAAUAUGUAUUAGAAAAUUUGAAAUUGUUUUAAAAACUCACAAAUUUUAAAUUUUGAAUUCGUCUUUGAAUACAUAUGAGGAAUUUGAGAGAAGAGAUAAAAAAUAUGUUGAGUUCCAUGGGAGAUGGAAGGUCAAGUGUCUCACCCUAUGACACAGCUUGGGUUUCCUUUAUUGAAGAUACCAAUACUAAUAUUAAUGGAACAAGCAAGAGGCCCCUAUUUCCAUCUUGUCUUCAAUGGAUUAUAGACAAUCAACUUGAUGAUGGUUCAUGGGGAGAAGAGCUUGUAUUUUGCAUAUAUGAUAGGCUCUUGAAUACACUAGCAUGUGUGGUUGCAUUAACCUUAUGGAACACUUGCCUUCAUAAAAGAAACAAAGGUGAACUUAAAGACAUGCACUUAUAUAUUACUCGAUCUUUCCAUUUCAAAAUAAUUGAAUUGUACUGACCCUUUUUUCGUAGUUCAAAACAGAGACAAGUGUAAAAGACACACCUAAACUUAAAUUAACAACGUGUGUCAUUCUUGUUGUUUAGGAGUGAUGUUUAUCAAAGAGAACUUAAGGAAGCUAGAGGGAGGGGAAGUUGUAAACAUGACUAGUGGAUUUGAGUUUGUGUUUCCUUCACUCCUUGAUAAAGCUCAACAAUUACACAUUGACAAUAUUCCAUAUGAUGCUCCUGUCUUUAGGGAUAUUUAUGCAAGGAGAGAAGUAAAGUUUACUAGGUAGGUAAACUUACUCAUCACAUUAUGCAUGCUUUUGAAAACAUUAUUUUGAACUAUGAAAUUAGUUUCUAACAAUUCACUUACGAUUGUUAGAUAGAGUGUAUUAGCAAUAAUUAUGCAUGUAUUAAGUUUGCGCAUUGGUAGUACCAACUUGUUUGAUACACUGUUAGUUAUACACUCUAUCGUAUAUUGAGGAGUUUAUUUUGCAGAUUUCCUAAAGAUCUCAUCCAUACCAUUCCAACAAUAGUAUUGUUUUCAUUAGAAGGAUUAAGGGACUUGGACUGGCAAAGGCUUUUGAAGUUACAAAUGGAGGAUGGUUCAUUCUUAACAUCCCCAUCAUCUACUGCCAUUGUAUUUAUGAACACAAAUGAUGACAAGUGCUUCACAUUUCUUCAAAAUGCUGUUCAAAAGUUCAAUGGAGGAGGUACAAUGCUUUUUUUGGUCAUUCAUUAUCUCUUGAUUUCAAAAUGUUGUUCAAAAAAGUAUUGAAAACAUUCUUUAAUUCGGCGUGAAUUAUUAAUGUUAAUCCUGAACUAUAAACAACCUUAAAAUGACUAAUUGAAUAUAAAUACACCCUUGAUCUUGCAAUAUGAGUGAAAUGCACUUAGGAGUAUCUUCAACCCUUCUCUCGGCUAUAUAUUAAAAGUCUCAUGUGUGCUCCUACAAGAGUUUGAGACCACUUGUUAUAUUAUGUUGCAUAACGGGGUUAUGUCGAAGUUUAGUUAGUCAAGUAUGAUGGAUGUUUUUAAGGCUUGUAAAUAAUUCAGUAAUAAUUUGUGCCAAGUUAGAGACAUAUUUUUUCAAUACUUGUUUCUUUAUUAAUAGACAAGAAGAAAAAUAAUGAACCUUUUUCAUUGUAUAUAUGUUUAGUUCCAUGUAGUUACCCAGCUGACAUACAAGCAAGACUUUGGGCAAUUGAUCGAUUACAACGCCUAGGAAUCUCUUAUUAUUUUGAGGAAGAAAUUAAGGACCUUUUAGAAUAUGUUUUCAGGUAAAAAAUACAAAAAAUUAUUAUUAUUAUUAUUAUUUAUUUUUGUGCACCAAAGUUGUUCUUCAUUUUCUUUUGACAAUUCUCUAAUUUUGUUCUUGAACCAUAGAUAUUGGGACAAGGAGAAUGGAUUUUUUUCAGCAAGGAAUUCAAAUAUUUGUGAAGUUGAUACUACAUGCAUGGCUAUUAGGUUACUAAGGCUACAUGGGUUUGAUGUUAGUCCAGGCAAGUCAAUGCAAAAUAACUAAUACAUAUACAUUCCUUGUGUCCUAAUUUAUGUUGUGGUGUUUGUGUGCAGAAAUUAAAAAGAAAACUUGAAAUUUGUGAUUUAAAACAAGAUAGAGAUGAAAUGAGUGCAGUAGUGAGACUACUUUACCUUUAACCAGAAGUCUCAGAUUCGAACUUUGAGUACAGAGAAAAUCUUGUUGGGAGCACCAAAUUACCCGAAUGAUCCUUGUAGUGCGCGAUCAGAAUUUUGAGUGGGUGAGAAACCAAAAAAACAUAGCAUUUGUUGAUGGCUUAAUCCAAUUUCUUAUUUGUAAUAGAUGUGCUACACAAGUUCAAAGAUGGUGAUGAAUUCUUUUGCCUAAGAGGUGAAUCCAACAAGUCAGCAACAGUUAUGUUUAAUCUCUAUAGAUGUUCUCAAGCUUUAUUCCCAGGAGAAAUAAUAUGUGAAGAAGCAAAGAAUUUUACAUACAAUUUCUUGCACCAAUAUCUUGCAAACAAUCAAUCCAAAGACAAAUGGGUUAUAGCUAAGGACAUCCCUGGGGAGGUAAGCUCAAAAUUCUUAGAAAAUGUCUAACAAAUUCGUAUCAGAUCCUUCAAAAGUAUACUCCCUCUGUCCUAUUUUAUGUAGGUAGCUUGACUUGACACGAAGUUUAAAAAAUCAAGAAAGACUUUUAAAACUUAUGGUCUAAAAUGAAUGAUAGAAUUUUGUGUGGCUAUAAAUCAUUUCAUUAAGGUAAAAUAGACAUUUUAUUGUUAAACUUUUACUUAAUAUAGAAAUGUGUCAUUUUUUUUUGAGAUCGACCAAAAAGAAAAGUAAGUCACAUAAAUUGGAACAGAGUGAGUAAUAUAUUUUUAAAGUAUUCUAUAUGACAAUAAUAUUUAAACUCCCUUUAUAUGUUUUACAUUGAAUAAUUCACUAAAUUUUAUGUUGUUAAAACAUUUGUUUAUAGAUAAGAUAUGCAUUAGAAUUUCAAUGGUAUGCUAGUUUACCUCGAGUGGAAUCUAGGCUAUACAUUGAUCAAUAUGGUGGAGCAGAUGAAAUUUGGAUAAGCAAAACAUUAUACAGGUAUAUGUAUACCUCUUUAAAUAUGUUUAUGCAUAUAAUAUAUGUUUUCUUGUCAAUUUAAAUCGUCUCAAUCAGUGGUGGAGCUAGAAAUAAUUUAGUUUAAAAAGCAAAUUUUCUUCUCAAUUAUGUUAAAGGUGUACCAAGUUAAAUAUAACCUCUAUAUAUAUUAUAUAAUUUUUCGAUAAAGGGUGCGAACUAAACUACCCUUUGCCUAAGGUGACUCCGCUCAUAUAUUCUCAUGUCAAUUUUCAUUUGGUUAAUUAUACUGUAUUAUAUAAUUAUAAAAUAAGAUGUGCCAAUUGUUUAUUAUUUAUGUAGAAUGCCAGAUGUGAGCAACAAUGUUUAUUUAGAAGCAGCAAAACUAGAUUACAAUAGAUGUCAAAGUCAACAUCGCUUUGAAUGGCUAAUUAUGCAAGAGUAAGCAUCCACUUUGAAACUUUUCUUUGAUAUAUAAGCAAUGAUGGUCUCGGCGUUUUAAUUUAUUUGUCUGAUUUUAAUUUGAUAUAAAGUUUAAGAAAGUUAAUAAAACUGUUGAAUCUUAUGGUCUUAAAUACUAAAUAUGUAGAAUGUAUGUAGAGAAAAUUAGAAGUAUAUAAGUAGUUGUCAAAAAAAUAAAAGAGCCAUUAUUUUUUAAAACAGACUAAAAAAGAAAGUAAGACAAACAAAUUGAAAAGCACGAAGUACAAAGCGGAUUGUUUUAUCAUUGGAUUUUUCACCAAUUAUACGUGUUAGAGUGGGUAAAGAAAGAUCUUGCAUUGAUUAGGAAAUGAAUUAACGAUCUGCUUAUAUAGAAUUGUACAAUCCUUACCGCAUGAACUAGCUAGCUUCUGGACAUUGAGUCACAAUAUCUAUUGAAAAAUAAAGAAACAUGUUUUUUUUUUUUACAUAAUUUCUAUUAGUUGAGUAACGUUAUAACUCGACGAUUAGGUGGUUUGAGAAGGGCAACUUUCAAAAAUUUGGAAUUAGCAAAAAGGAAGUGCUAGUUUCUUUUUUCUUAGCUGCUUCAAGUAUAUUUGAGGUGGAGAAGUCAAGACAACGACUUGCAUGGGCUAAAUCUUGUAUACUAUGUAAGAUGAUUACAUCCUACAUAAAUCAAGAGGCUACAACUUGGAAUUCAUUUUUGAUGGAGUUCAAGAACUAUAGAGACAUGAGUAUAAAAAAAAGGUAUUUAUAAUAUAUCUCUCCAUCUUAGUCCUUUAAAUUUCAAUUUUAUGGUUCUUUGAUUUUAGAACCAAAAAAAUUUAUCACCUAAUAAUUAGGUUUUAAAUUUCAAUACGAAAAAGGUCAAGAAUGUCCUAGAACUAUGCAGAAUUGAAUAAAAAUAUCUUUUGUUAAUAGUUUGGUAAAUAAAAUACCCUUGCGAUAUAAUAUAAUUUAAGGACAUUUUAACCUUUUUUUCCAAAUUCAACAUGUGUAUAUAUUUAAUGAUUUUUUAAAUACUAAUAUAUAAUUAGUUUUGACUUCUAUUUUGUCCUCUAAGUUGCACAAUUAUGCAUUACUUGAGUCCUUGGAUUAUAUAUAUAUAUAUAUAUCAAAACUUAGCUUUGACAAGUUAAAUAUUUUGUUGCAGUAAUGAAACAAAAGAAAUCAUAGUUCUCAAUAAUCUUUGUCAAUUUUUGCACCAACUUACAAAAGAAACUUAUCAAGACCUAGGCAAAGACAUCCAUCACCAACUACACAAUGUUGUGAGUAUAUACAAGGAUUCUUAUAUUAUAAUUACAUUCAUCGUUAACUUUGAUCCAUUUGUAUUUGAUUUGACCAAAAAAAAUAAAAUCUUUGAUUAAAUAUUUCUUCUUGUUUUUUUUUUCCUUCUUUUGAAUGUAGUGGGAAGAGUGGUUGGAGGAAAAUAAUACUACAUGUCAAGAAGCAGCGGUAUUGCUAGUGCAAACAAUUAAUCUUUCUUCUGGCCAUAUGACACAUGAUGAGAUAUUAUCCAAGUACACCAAUAAAGUCUGUCACAUGCUUAAUGAGUUCCAAAAUGAUCAGGUUAUAAAUCAUUAGACUUAUUUAACAUUUACUCACUUAGAAAAUUGAAUGACAAACAUUACUUUUUCUAUUUGUAGAUUUGUAAUUCCUCAAAAGCAAGAGACAUUGAAUUGCACAUGCAAGCUCUUGUAAAGUUAGUGUUCAGUAACACCUCCUCAAACAACAUCAAUCAAGGCAUUGAAGACACAUAUUUUAAAGUUGUUAAGACUUUUUAUUACACUGCACAUGUUAGUGAGGAAACAAUCAACAAUCACAUAUCCAAAGUGCUUUUUCAGAAAGCCUAGUAACAUCCAAGCACAAAGAGGAGCAAAGUCACCCUAUGGAUGAAAGAUUGUGUAAUGUUUUAUGAAGGAGCAUAUAGUUUUGACAAGUAUGUGUCAUACAUAUAACCUCACAAAAUUCUAUGUUAAAAGAUUCGAAUAAUUUGUUGAUUGGAUUGGGUGAUAUCCUAUAUUUGUACAUGUGUUAAGGUUCAUUCCUAAGUGUAUCAAAUAUGGUUUAGAGUCGUAAGGUGCCUCAACUUCAAAACAUAUCUAUCGGAUAUAAUUUGAUAUGAGUUCAUAUAAGGUAAACAUUAAAUGACCAUAAUAUAGAAUUAGGUGACCCACUGUCACACACCGAGUACACCCCAGGCAUGACCCGCAUUCAAGAACCAUUGUUGCUUACGAAGCAAACCCUUGGCCUAGUGAUAAACUAAAGACUAGAGUCCUCUGAAAGUCAAUAGCCUCACCAAAAGUUAACGACCGACUGGGUGAUCUCUAUGAAAUGUCUGCUGAUAAUCCUAAAUACAUGUAUCUACAAUUACGAGUAUAUAAUAUUAUUGGAAUAUAAAUCAACUGAAGUAAAAACAAACGUGAGGUAAAAUUAUUUAAGCUUCACAAAUCUUUCUCAAAUGCCCCAACUAUAUAUUAUUAUUAUUAAUAAUAAUGUUAAUAUUAUUAUUAAUAAAUACCUUUUCAGUUUAAUACAUUAGAAGGGGUAGUAUUUUAUAUAAAGCACAUGUUUCUCAUCUUUAAUUUGAUUUAACAACCCACAUAGCUGUUUUGUUUUCUU